rnacentral:lncRNA from 1 species
UGGAAGAUUGCUGGGAUCUGGUUAAGAAAUGCACAAAGUCAAAGAGAGAAGAGACACCAUACAUGAUCGAAGUUGCAAAGGAAUUACGCCGAAUUUACAACUGCUUCCGUGCCGUCAAUCUUGACAAGAAUUAGCUACACAAGAUGGGAAAAAGAAGAAUCAAGCGCAUUUUGUUCACCUAAAGUUAAUUUUGAUACUCCCUGUAUAAUAAAAAUAUCAUAACCCCUUUUCAUUUUUGAUAAUAUUUUAAUUUCAACUUUACACAUGAUAUAUUUAUGAUCAUAAGAUUAAAAGAUAUUUUGGUACAUUUGACACAACUUUAAUUUAAGGCCACAAGAUUUAAAAAUUUCUUUACGAGAAAAGACAUCUUUUCCCCCUGAACUUAUCCUCCAAACUUACUUUAGCAAUUAAACUUAACUUUCGUUUAUUUACCCCUUAAUAUCUUUAAAGUGAAUUAUUUUCACCCCUCAAGACCGAAUACCACUCUCACAACGGAGAGUGUGUUACAUUCGCCUACACAUCAACGCCACGUCGGAGCCACGCCAUUGCCACGUAAGAAGUUCAAUUUUUCUAAAAAAAAUAUUAAUCCUCCACACUUUAUUUUAAUAUUUCUUUUAAAUAAAAAAUAUAUAUUUACUAUAUAUAUAUAUAUAUAUAUUAAAUAAAAAAGAUGCUCCCACCCCCAUUUUCUUUCUUCUUUACUCCCCCACCUACCCCGUCCACCCCGUCCCUACCCUACAACACAACCCCCUUCUCUUUUCUAUCUUCUUUAAACCACCCCACCUCUCUCCUCACCUCCAUUUUCUAUCUUCUUCAAACUUAAAGCAUAUUAGCAAUUCAAGAAACAAUCAAUUCAAGAAACAACAAUUAUUCCUUCAUCAAACCACCAAUUCAAGAAACUCAAAUUUCAGGCACAACUUUACAACAUCAUAAAAAAACUCCAAUAAUCAAUUUAGACAUCAAUUAUGAAUUCAACGAAAUCAUUUUUUCUUUAUUUUCAAGCUUUUUUCAAGCUUCAACAAUGACAGAUACAAAAUUAAACUAGCAAAAUUCAUACCAAUCAAACUCAAAAUUCAAGUACAACUUCACAUCAUCAUCAGAAAACCCUAAUAAUCAAUCUGAACAUCAACUACAAAUUCGACAAACUUAUUUAGAAAUAAUCGAUCUCUGCACAAAUCCCAAGAAAACCUUUUUUUUUUUUUGGAAAUAAUCAAUCAGCUAUGACUCUUGGUUCAGGAGGAGGAUCCAAUUUUGUGGUCCCUCAGAAUUUCAGAUUACUUAAGGAACUCGAACGUGGUGAAAAGGGUAUUGGAGAUAGUACGGUGAGCUAUGGGAUGGAUGGUGAAGAUGAUAUCUACAUGCGUUCCUGGACUGACACCAUUAUUGGUCCACACAAUUAUGUUCAUGAAGGGCGUAUUUAUCAGUUGAAGCUAUUCUGCGACAAAGAUUAGCCAGAGAAGCCACCAAGUGUUCGAUUCCAUUCUCGAAUUAACAUGACAUGUGUCAACCAUGAGACUGGAGUGGUGGAACCAAAAAAGUUUAUUGUACUUGCAAAUUGGCAGAGAGAGUACACCAUGGAAGAAAAUGGGGAUCGGAAAUUAAUGGUUGAAGAAAAUGGGUGAGGUUAUUAAUGGAUGAAUUGAUGGUUGAAGAAAAUGGGUAAGGUUGUUAAUGGAGAAAUUAAUGGUUGAAGAACAUGGAUGAGGUUAUUGAUGGAGGAAUUGAUAGUUUAAAGAAAAUUGGUAUUGUUGUUCUUGAUUAAUUGAAGAAAAAAAGAGUGUGGGGGUGUGGGUUGGCGUGGGGGGAGGGGCAUUGAAGAAGAAGGUUGUCUUUUUUUUUUUAUUUAAUAUAUAUUAAAAUAAAAAGUAGGACCAUAUCAAUUUUUAAAUAAAAGCGCGCCUUUUUUUUUUUUUUAAUUUCAUGUCAGAAUUAAGGGUGUAUAUAAUCACUUUAAAGAUGUUAAGGGGGUAAAUAAACGAAAGUUUAGUUUAAGUGCUAAAGUGAGUUGAGCGGACAAUUUCGGAGGAAAAAGAUGUCUUUUCUUUUCUUAAACUUUGUGCCAAGUCAAAGUAGGUCAUUCUUUUUGAAACAGAGGGAGUAAUAAGUUUGACUUUAUUUGAAGUAGUUUCAGUUAGUUUGAAUGGACACAUUAUGUUGGAUAAUAAAAGAGUUCCAUAAUGAAAUUGCAGAUAAUAAGAGGGCUUAUAACUAAGGACAUACAAACACCUCAUAAGUCAUAAGUUGGAAAAUUCUUAAUUUAUGUCUUUUCUAACUCAAAGACUUAUUUUCUUAUUUUGACUUAAAAAUAAAUUCUUAAAAACACUUCCUUUUAAAUCUUAUUCAAAUACUAUAAAAAUAUUUAAAAGCUAUUUUGACAUAAAAGUAUUUGAAACAAGUCAAUCCAAACAGACAAAGGGCAGCCCAAUCUACUAAAGCUCUCGCGAUGCGCAGUUUUACGAAAAUACCUGAUCAUAAUAAUCUAUUAUAUGAAACCUUACCUUUUAUUUUCGGAAGAGGCUAUUUCCAUGGCUAAUCCAAACUUGAGGAAAAGAAAAACUAUAAGGGAUCUUUUGAUAGCGUGUAUAAGAAUAAUGCAAAAUAUGGUGUAUUAGUAAUGCUUGUAUUAACAAUGCUUGUGUUAGCUACGCUUGCAUUUGUUAUACUUGUAUUUUUCUUGUGCAGUGUUUGGUUCGAUGUAUUGAAAAUAACAUGAAUAACAUAAUUUCUAGUUUUUUUUACAUAAUACCCUCAAUAUAUAAAUUAGAGAGGACGGGAAAUUUUUUUUGAGGGAUAAUAGUGUCUUUAAGCACGUUAAUUAGAUCCAUUGCAUUACUAAUGGCAUGGAUUUUGAGUUAUUAGUAAUACACACCUCAGUACACAAUAGAGUGUAUAACUGAUGCAAACAUUAAUUAUACAUAGGAUUAAAAGAUACAACAAACAAAAUACUACUAAUACACAUUAAAUUAAUGUUUUCAUUAACUUUCCAAUACACUCUACCAAACGACCCGUAAAAGAGGAAGAGCAUGACACACACACAAGAGAGAAUGACGGGUCUUUAAUUACUUGGAUAAUGGGCCUACAUUAGGCGAUUUGUCAAUCACAAAAAUGUUUCACACCAUACAAUUAGAGUAAAGUUUUUCAAUCAAACACCAUUUGCUGUCACUUUAUGUGGAAUUCAAUGUACGGGACAAAGUACAAAGACCAACAUGAACUAGGAAGCUCACAACUUUCUUUUUUUGGUAAAAUAGAAAUGCAUUAAAUAAAAGGAGGUAGUUUUUUAUAUAGAAAGGUCUAAUCAGGCACAAAAACAUAACAGUUGGGAUAAGCAUUUCCAUUAUUGUAUACAGAGCGGGAGAAUGAUUUUCCCUUAAAGUUUUCCCAAAAAGACUACUCCUACACUAACAGGUGGAGUUAUGAAAAUAUGUAAACUGUCAAAAAAUUUCUGCUCAGAGCCUUGCUUUGCCAUUAAGUUCGCUACCCUAUUCUAUUCCCUGUAGCUNNNNNNNNNNNAUCGGAAGAUUUCCCAAGCUCCUUAGUAGAGACCUGCAUUCAUAGACAACUGAAUCAUAAAGUAAGUUGCCAUAGUGUAGCAUAUUUAUAAUUUCCUGUGAAUCAGUGCAAACUUCUAAAGGUUUGAGAAUUUGUUUAAAGCCAAGUUUGAGGCCCUUCUUCAAGGCCAAGAGCUCCGUAAGAUUAUUAGUGAAAUGGGUAAAGCUUUUGCUAAAAUAUAAAACCCAAGCUCCUCUAUAGUCCCUAAUGACCCCCCUCCUAAUCCCACUCUUUCCUGGUUGCCAAGGAAAGACCUAUCAGUAUUUAGCUUAAAAGGUUGAAGGUGGGGGCGGGUAACCAUUUGAUGGUGAUAUUGGUUUAGGGAGGAUCCUCAUUGGUAUUGCCUAAGUGAUGGUAUUCCACAGCUUCAGCCUGAGGAUAUUGAAGCAAGAAUGAGAGUUAGCAUUUUGGAAGUUGUGGAAUUUUUUAUUUUUCAAAGGUGCCAUAAGCAGAAGGGUAGGAGGGUACUCCAAGGAGUGUUGUUGUCAAAGUAAUCUCUGCUCAUGAUUUUCCAUGUUUUGGACCAAUUGUUGGUGUCAAACAUGGAAAGAUGGAGAUGAAUACUCCCUUUGUAUUUUUGAAUUAGUUUUUGCCAAAAGGUCUUGGCUAAGUUGCAUUCAAAAAAGAUGUGAUGCUGGUCUUCUUGGGCAUAAUUGCAGUAGUGAAAAAGAGGUAAUAUUCAAGCCCCCUUUUGAGGAGGGUGGAUCUAGUGGAAAGGUUGUUGUGGUGCAUGAGCCACACAAAGGUCUUGAUCUUAUUGGGGACUCUAAGAUGCCAAAUCCAGCUGGAAGAGAUGUGGGCUCUCUGGGGAUCCCCCUUUAGGCUGGUAAUAUAUUGGUAGGAACUUUUGUAGAAAAAGGUGCUAUCACCUCUAAGUCUCCAAAGAGGAGUAUCCUGACUGAGGUGGGUGCUCUAAGAAAAGUAUUCUAGAUAUUGAAGAUAAUAUUGGUGGGGNNNNNNNNNNNNNNNNNNNNNNNNNNNNNNNNNNNNNNNNNNNNNNNNNNNNNNNNNNNNNNNNNNNNNNNNNNNNNNNNNNNNNNNNNNNNNNNNNNNNNNNNNNNNNNNNNNNNNNNGGGAAUGGGAGCAUUCCAGGGAUCCAUCUAUCUUCCCAAGCUUUAACUUUUGUUCCAUCCUUAAUGGCCCAAAAUAAAGAAUCUUUACAGAGGUUCCAACAAUUGUUGAUGUUAUUCCAGGUCCUAGAGCCUUUGUUGAUACCCUUUCUUCCUAACCCAUAUUUGGAAAUAAGAGUGUUGACCUACAGGGAUGUAGGGGUUGGAGUAUAUUCUCCAACCCAGGCUGUAAAUGAGGGCUUCAUUCUUGAUGACAACCAUUUGCAUGCCAAGCCCACCAUCCCUUUUAGGAAGAGUGAUGGUGUCCCACCUAAGAAGGUGUAUUUUCUUUUUUGCAUUAGCGGUAUCGCAGUUGAAAUUCCUUUGGGUUCUGUCAAUCAGCUUAUGUAGGUUGCUAGGAAGGUGGAUAUAUUGCAUAACAUGGUUGGAAAUACUAGGUAAGGAAGACUUAGCUAAAGUUCCCCUACCAGCCAUAUUAAGGAAUUAGUUUUCCACCCAGCUAAUUUAUUUUUCAAAUUAUCAAUAAUGAAUUAGAAGUCCCCCCUCUCAGGUUUUUUGUGGAAGAUGGGGAAUCCCAGGUAUUUGCCAAAGUGGUUAGAAUAAUGGAUGCCUAGGAGAGAAGAGAUAUUUCCUGGUCUUCCAGCUUAUAAUUUUUGGAGAAGAUAACUUUGGAUUUAUCAAAGUUGAUUCUUUGCCCAGAGUGGGAACUAAAACUAUGGAGGAUCCUAUUAAUGGUAUGGCAAUUUUUAGGAUCAACUUUUGCAAAAAGGGUGAGGUCAUCUGCAAAGAAGAGGUGGAAGAUAAGAGGACCUUUCCUAGAAAUGGUUAUGGGUGUCCAAUGGAGGGUAUUAAUCUCAGAGUUGAUCCUCCUGGAUAAAAGUUUCAUGCAAAGGAUAAAGAGAUAGGGUGACAAAGAAUCUCCUUGCCUAAUGCCACUAGAGGGUUUAAAGGGGAUGGUAUUCCCUCCAUUAACAAGGAUAGAUAUGGAAGAAGUAAAGAUACAAGAUAGGAUGAGAUUUAUGAGAUUUUGGGGAAAGUUGAAGAAGGAAAGAGCCUGUCUAAUAAAGGACAAUUCAAGCCUAUCAAAAGCUUUCUCAAGAUCAAUUUUGAGAAGCAUGUCGGAUUUUUUACCCUUAAUUUUGGAGAAGUGGCUAACAUAUUCCCGAACAAUGAUGGCAUUAUUAGAGGCCCUUAUUUUAGCCAUAAAGCUAGCUUAGUUUGGGCCAACGAUGUUUGCAAGUAAUGGUUUCAUCCUAGUGGCUAUGAUCUUGGUGAUGAUUUUAUACUGGGUACAAAGGCCUAUGGGUCUAAAGCUCUUAAGAAAAGUAGAAUUCCUACACUUGGAAAUAAAACAGAGGUAGGUGGAGUUGACUCUGGGGUCCAUAGAGUAAGAAGUGAAGGUCUCCUAACAGAACUUAACUAUGGGGGUCCUAUAAUGUCCCAAAAUUUCUGGUACAUGAAGGGAUGCAUGCCAUCAGGUCCAGGAGUUUUGUUAGGCUUGAAAGAGAAAACAACCCUUUUGACCUCUUCAAAGAAAGUGAUGGCUUUUUAAAGGUCAUGAUUGAGGGAGCUGAUGGAUCCCAAGGUGGAGGGGUUGGAUUAGGUAGUGAGAUACCCUAAUAUGUAUUCAGAGGUAUAGAGGUUAGCAUAGUAGUUAAAGACAGCAAUGGCAAUAUCUUUUUGCUGGUAGUGCCAUAUACCAUUUCAUGUAUGAAGGAGUUGAUCCUAUUCUUUCUCCUCUUAUUGAGGGUGGAGGUAUGAAAGAACUUGGUAUUUGAAUCCUCUUCCAGCAGCCAUGAGAUUAUGGAUUUUAGCUUUUAGAACUCAUUCUCUAAGUUAGAGAUAUGAUUGAAUUCUUUCAACAGAGUGUGUUCAAGCCCAUGGAGGAAGGGGCUUGUGGGGUAGUAUGGUGAUUUUUGGAUGCCAUGCAACCUUGUAAGCAAGUGUUUUUUCUUAUUAAAAAUAUUCCCAAAAAUGAUCCUGUUCCAAUCCUGAUAUUUUUCUUAAAAUUUAAGGUGGCUAUAGUGAUACAGGGACAGUUUAAGAAGGAAUCUUUGAUCAAAUUGAGGAAUUCAUGAUGGAUAAGCCACAUAGAUUCAACCCUAAAGGGUUUAAUCUGGUUGGUAAGAGUGGAUCCUAAGUUAAGAAGGAACGGGUAAUGGUCAGAGCAAGUUCUAGGAAGGUGGGUGAUUGAGGCCUCAGGAUAUAAGUGAAUCCAAAGAUCAUUAGCUAGGCAUCUAUCAAGUCUUUCUAGAAUUAGACCCUGUCUAUUCCUAUACCUCAUGUUUGACCAGGUGUAUUUACUACCUCUAAAGCCUAAGUCAAUAAGCUUGCAAUGAUUUAUAAAAUUCAUAAAAAGGUUAGAGCUAUUUAGGUUAAUCCUGGAACCUCCAAACUUUUCAAAGGCUCUAAGGACUUCAUUGAAGUCCACUUCAACUAACCAGUUCUUACCCUCAAUGAAAAUGUAGUUAUCAGAGAGAGAGGAGAAUUGUUCCCAAUGAUCAAUCCUAGAAUGAAAAUUAGUACUAGCAUAAAUAAUACUAAAAAACCAAGAAGAAGGAGACACUGACCUUGUCUUUGGCAUGAAUAGCUUGGGAGGAAAUAGAGAUAGAGGUGAUGGAUUUGGAGUCAUCCCUCCACAUAAUGAUAAGGCCCCCUGUGUUACCAUUAGCCUCAGACUGGAUGUGGUUUUGAAAGCCUAGCUUCUCACAAAGAUCUUGGUGGUCAGUCAUCUUGGUUUCCAGCAGAGCAAGAAUACACGGUUGGUGGAUACUAACCAUAGCUUUAUAAUGAUUUCUAAAUUCAACAUUCUAAGCCCCCUAUCAUUCCACAUAAUGCAGUUUUUCAUCUUCAAUUGAAGAGGAUGGGGUGGUUCUGUUGAAGUCACCUUGCCCUUCCCCUUGGGGUUGGGGUUGGUGUGAAGGAGGAGGCUUUUUUUUUCUUGCUGAGGGGGCGCUAGCAUGACCUUGACAAUCUUUUCUUUCGUAGGCUUUAUUGUAUUUGCUCUUAGACCUAGACCUGCUAACCCUAAGGAAAUCGGGAUGAUCACAAUCUCCUGAACUGGCUCUGUGAAUUCUAGAUUUAGAGGCUCUUCUAAGUUGAUAAUUUCUGAUCUUAGGACUUUGAGUUGGGAUAGGAACUCCUCCAUAUCCCUGUUGCUUGCUUUCAGGGUUUUUAGAGCAUUCAACCUUUCCAUCUUCUCUAAAGUAAGGUGGGGUGAGGUUGUGAUCAAGAAUAAAGAUUUUGUCUGACUGGGAGAGGCUUGGUGUUCCCUUGUGAGAGGCACAAAAGCUGGUCCCAGAAGAAUCAGGAGUGGGUUGUGUGGUGGAAAGAAAGAAAGGCUAAGGCUGAGAUGGUUCAUGAUGCUGGCUAGUGAUUCUGUCGUCAACUCCUCCUGGUAGGGUGAGUUGAUCACCUGAAAUAGGGUGGCCAUCCAGACAUUGGACCCAAACAUCUGUAGUCCAUGGUUUAGGCUCACCAUGGCCAGCUGAGCAAGGUAUUGAGGAUCCUGAAUGAGAAUGGUGACUUGUCUCCCUUUUCAUUCCAGGUGUAGGGGUACCGUUUGGUUUGAUAGGCAUAUUUUCAACCAAGAAGUUGGUUGGUGGUUUAGGGAUAGGGGAGUUGUUAUGAUGGUAGUUCGGUUAGAGCUUGGGGAGUUCAUAAUUGCUUUUUUGAGAAAGAUCAGUCAUGUUCUCCUUAGGGUAUAUAGAGUGAAGAGAGUUAAGAGAGAGGAGCUGAGAGGUUUUCCCAUGGGAAACACCACCAACAUUUAAUGCUUUGUCUACGCCUUGGAUAUUCACAUCACAUAACUGCGGAAAGUGGAACAUUUUCCCGCUGUUGGGACUUUAGGCUCAUCAUUGCCUAAGUCUAGGAGUCUUAGGGGGGCCCCACAUUGGGAGUUCUCUUUCAUUAUAAUUUCCAUUGGUGUGGAAGAUGAAUUAUUUUUAGGAGGUGGAUUUCGAAAAAGGGGGUCAGGUCUCUUAGGACCUAUCUGGGACUUUGUUAUAGGCCCAUAAGUAAUAUGGGAAUUGGGUCUCUAAGCUGUUGAAUUUUUGGAUUGGCCUCCCUACAAUAGAAGGUAUAUGACCUUGAUUUUUUUUGGGCCCAAUUCUUGCUCUGUUAGGGGUUUUAGCAUAAUAAAGUUUUGAGGAUUCCCCUUGGGCCGGCCCAUUGGGUGAAGGCCCAGAUGUAGAGGGCAUGGUGGGCUUUCCUGGCGCUGCCUUCGGUAAGGUAGGGUUUAGGAACUUACCUAUCACCGCAUCAAAGGUUUUGAGCUUGACGAUGAGUGAUCCCUUAGUGUUUAUUUGAUGAUUUUUUGGUACCAUCUUCUUCCUUUUGGAAAACGAUACUGUUUGCCAGUCAGGUUAGUGGUCUCCCAGCGAUGUUUUAUCCUCUGCUAUGGGGUGGGUGGCCUUCAUUAUUGUUGCAUCACCACCAUUUUUAAAUUGCUUUGGCCUGAGCGGGUAUGAGCAGAUGGCCGUUGUGUGACCUAGGCAUCUGCAGUUCUUACAUAGGAAGCCCUCUCCCUCAUAGAGGAGAGAAUGAGUAUGCUGGUUGAUGGAGAUUGAGGAUGUUACCAUGGUGUCCAGAGGAAUUUGGACAUAGAUUCUGGUGUAUCUGCCUCGCAGUGCCGUCGAUGUGCAUGCGUUAACCUUCAUCAAUAUCCCAAUUUUCUUGCCGAUCCGUUGAAGGAUAGAGGCAUCAUAUAGCUUUGUAGGCAAUUGUGGAAGUCUGAUCCAUAUGGAGGUUGAGUCCACUUUUGAUUCGCUUAGUACAAAGUUGGGUUUCCACUUUCUUACUGAAAUGAAAUUGCCAGCUAAGAACCAAGGACCCCCAUGGAGAAGUGAAGAUUGACUUUCUGGUUUGGAAAGUUUAAUAGUAAAAAAACCCAUCCCUGGAUCUAUAAGACACAAUGAUUCUGAGAGUUUCCACAAAUCCUCUAGUUUCUUUUUAAGAUAUUGUUGGUUAAAAUUUGAUUUGACUGGCUUGAUGACGACAGAGUGGAUCCCAGGCGCGUAUAGGCGAUGUUUGUCCUCCUCUGAUAGUAGGAUUUUGUUAUCAGCAAUUUUCAGAGUUUUAUCUUUGGUGGAUGCUGUAGAUCCCGAAUAAGUAGUUGGGGUCAUGAUUUUCCCCACCGCGAUUCUCUUGUGUGUGUGUGUGUGGGGGGGGGGGCUUUCGCCAUGAGAAUUUCUCUUGAGGAAUUUAUUAUUGGAGGAUUUGGUAGUAGGGGUGGAGUUAAGGUUGUAUCCAUGGCAGGGUCGGUGCCAAUGGUGAAAGAAAGAGUAGAAGAGAGGGAGGUCUUUCUCUCUCUAGUACUCUUAUAAAAUAAAUUUCACUUAAGUUUCUAAAACACUCACAACUUCCUUAUUUAUUCAUUCCACUACUGUUAGAGGGACUAGAGACUUCAAAUUAGGACAAGUUAGAAAAGAGUUUAACUUAUUUCCACCCUCAGUGGAAACCUUGUUUUACCCAAGUAAUUUUAAUAGGUAAUAAAUAAUCAGGACAUUAUUUUUAUAGAAUCAUUUCCUUAAUUUCUUGAUUUUUUCUCUCUCUAUUCCUAAAUUUUAAAACUUGGUAAUUUUUCUUAUACAUGUUUUCUACUUAAAUUUUUUACUGAUUCGAAAAAAAUAAUUGUUGUGCCUAUUUUUAUAAAUUCUGCUACCAUAGUUUUACAAUGAAUUAAAAUCAUUCAUAUAAUUUUUUUAAAUCUCGAUUUAGUUAUUGAUGGUUGGAAUUUGAGAGUUAAAUGAGUUAACUUUUCAUUAUAAUUUUAUUACAAGUUUGUUAAAAAGUGAUAUAUUGUACCGUCAAAAUUAAAAUAGUUUACUUUUUAUUAUAACUUUUAUAAUCCCAAAUGUACGAUCAAUAUUAAAAAAUUUGAAUCUCAAAAAGUAAAAAGUCUCAUAAAAAAGUUGAAAGCUGAUGCUACUAAUUGAUCCAAAUUAGAUGGUGAUUGCUUUGAAAGUUAAUGCUACUAAUUAAUUCAAAUUAGAUGGUGUUGAAUAAUAAUAAAGUAGAAAUUAAUGAUCAAUGAAAAUAAGACACGACUGAUCCUUCGAAAUUUUAAUAACAAAGUCUAUAAAAAAUAUUAAUAGAGUGAAUAUAGAAUCCAAAAUAAAAAUAAUCGAAACUUAUUUAUAAUAGACUUUAAAAUACUUGCUUGUGUAAAAAAUAAUUUCGACUGACGAUGGAUACUAGUAAACUCGUUAGAAAAUAUGCAGUUUUUCAGGUGUCACGACCCGAUUUCUGAAGUAGUGAUGCCACCUACCUUAUUUCCAGUAGGCAAGCCAAGUCAUAGCCCAGAAUAAUAGGUACCGGGCUAAUUGGCAGAAACCAGAAAAGAUCGCGUAUAAUGAUAGAAAUAGUAAUAACAAGCAAAAAAUAGAUAGUAAACAUAUACCAUAUAUUAAAACAAGGGAAGAAAAAAGGACAAAAUACACAAAGGAAUUCCUCCAAAGACCUGGUAAGAUCGGUACUAGAGCCACUACUAAAAUAUACCCAGAGUAUUAGACAGAAUCCAAAACAUACACAUUAUAUACAAGCAGUCUCGAGUAAAAAAGACUAAACUAGAGUAGAUAGAGGAGGAUUAGCCUCGGAUGACAGUAAGCUCACCCUGCUCCAUAUCAGUACUAUAAGUGUAAUGCCCCGAAUCUGGUACCUAAAACACUACAUGGUGCUCAUGACCCCAAAGGACCACAAGCUAACCCAUGACUGAUAUCUGUACCUGUAUACUGCAUAAUAUACUGAAUAAUGCAGAAACAUGAACUGAAAGGCCAUAAGGUUCACACAGCUGAAGUAAAACAUAACAUCUAAACAGGGUAUAAAAUACCCAAAACAACUAAAAUAACUGUCUGAACAUAAUAGUCUGGAAAGCCUCUAACUGACGGAACUGUCUGAGUAAGGAGUUGAUGGGACAUGUCCCCUACUAACUACAACUAAUAAACUAAUUACUGAGAUAGUAAAAUGAUGAUCAUGUUCUCAAAAGAUGAGGACUCACUGCUAGCUCUGACAGCUUAGAUUGGAAUCUACUGAUGCUCUGGAGCUCGUGUCUUUGAACCUAUGGUAUAAGACACCAUAGCGCAAAUGCGUCAAUACUUUGAAUGUAUAGGUAUGCAUGUGAGGUAGGAUGAAUGCAUGGGGUUCAUAUGCAUGAACAAUACUGGCUAACUGACUAAUAUGAACGUGAGAAUACAUGCUUGCAUACAUAGUAACUAUAUCUGAAAUCGUGAUAACAUGAGUAUGCUGAUGACUAACAUGACUAAUGACUGAAUUCUAAUAACUGAUAACAUGAGUGACUGUAUCUGAUAGUCCUGAAUCUGAUGGAACUAGCUGAGUUCCAUACCUUAUCUGAGUUGACUGUAUCUGACAAUCCUGCAAUCUGAAGAACUAUCUGAGUUCUUUUACCGAGACUGAUACUGAGACUGUGGGAGGUAGUCAUCUAACCGAUAUGCCCCAAAUGAUGCAUUAUAGCUGAAUUAAGGUCUAAUCUAUGCCCUCAAUACCACGCCACUAGUAAGGACAACAUGUGAGUGAUCCUAAUAUAACAGGUAACUCUAGUGAGAACGGUGGGAACCCUCAUAUAGCAGGCUAUGAUGUCUCAACCUAUGUUGGCUACAUAGUUUUGGAACGCAAAUAUUGCUUAUAAGAAUCACACCCUCAUAUAACAGGUGAGUUCCCAUCCUUGGAUUCGCUUGGUACUAAUUUCUACUCCCAUCUGAAUAGACACUGAACAUGAUUUACUAAACUAAACAUGGACUGAGUUACUGAUUUCCAUUGACUGAUAGAAUACUAUUGAUAUCUAACAACUGACUAAGUUCAUGAGAUCAUGGAGAUUUCCUGAGUCAUAAGAUUGUCUGAAGUCUAAGGAUCAUAGCUUGAAUGAGAGUAUCGUGAAAAUAUGACAUGGCUCUAGGCACACAGCUAAUGUUUCGGGUACAAGUACCCCCAGGACUAGAUAGAAGGAAACUAACGAAGCAUGACUUUAUCAAGUACAAGACCCACGUCAACAAUACAUAAUUUAAUAAGUUGUGGAUUUCACAAAGUGCAGGGUUAUCAUACUAUCUAACAUGGACAAGAAUGCUGAUAAUUAUAUCAUAAUCUCAUAUUCUAAUAUCGUGGCCAUUCUGACAACAUACACAUUUCACAAUGAUAGCAUGAAAACCAUUUAAACAUAGGAGGAUGACAAGCAUGUCAUAUUUAGAUUAUGUCUUGAGCUAUAAACCAUGAUUUCUACUUUUUCGAGCAUUUUAUCAACCACCUUGCAUGCACAACUUAGGGCAUAAGUGAAUUCAUCAAAUUACACAUCAUAAGCAACUAAAUUCAUGGAUUUUAUCUUGCAUGGUAACAUAAUAUCAUGAUACACACGUAAAUAUUUCAACUUUGAAAUCAAUCAGCGUCAACAACAUGAUUACAAAUAACCCAUAACAUAACUACCAUGAUUUAUAGAUAAAACAAGGUUCUUGAGUUUCAUGGAUGGAAGGAAUCCAUGAAUGAACACAUCGCAUACCUUAGUUUGUGAUUUCCUGAAGAUUGACGGUGAAAUCUUCUAGAAAUAGGAUCUUCUAUAAAAACCCUAGCUUGUUCUUGAGAGAAACUAGUAUAUUUUGGGUGAAAANNNNNNNNNNNNNNNNNNNNNNNNNNNNNNNNNNNNNNNNNNNNNNNNNNNNNNNNNNNNNNNNNNNNNNNNNNNNNNNNNNNNNNNNNNNNNNNNNNNNNNNNNNNNNNNNNNNNNNNNNNNNNNNNNNNNNNNNNNNGCUAUCGCGCCGGGUCAUUGGAUUUUGAUAAUUGGGAAAUUGAGGGAUGGCAUGAUGCGGAGCCAUCGCAUUGCCCCUUCUUUUGCGACCUGAAACUUUGGCGCGACACAGAGAAAAUUGCGCCGAGCCACCGGAAAAGGACAAUUGCCAUUUUAGCUUGUGGCGCGGUGUGCCACUGACCAAUAUGGCGCUGUUUUACAAUGGGAACUUGAAAUAGUCAUAACUUCUUACCUAGUUAUCAGAUUUAGGUAAAUUUUACAUCGAUGGAAAGCUUAUUGAAUACAUGAAAAAAGUGAAAAUCUUAAAGAUACCACGUGUACAAAAGUGGAUUCAUCUUUCAAAGAAAACUCCUAAAUUUUUUUUGAGACGCUUUCAAGCUAGAAAAAGGUACGGGGUAUUACACUAAGGUAGGAAUCACGUCAAAGUCAGAUUCUACUACUCGGAUCUGUAUCAGGAAAAAGAUGCAGAAGUGUAGUAUGAGUACCAAAGCAACGAGUACUCAGUAGGCAUCAUCGGCCGAUUGAGUUCAAUAUAGAAAAGGUAUAACUACAAUGCAAGGGUCUAAUCUAAAUCAAUAGUAAAAGGGAUAGAAAGGUAAACAACUGCCAAGAUAAGUCAAUGAGAUAAAAGAAUUAAUGUAAGUGAUACAAAAAAUAAAUAACGCAGUAAUUACAGACAAAUCAAAUAUAACCUAACUGCCCCUCAUAAGCCCGCUAGGUACAUAACAUAACCUAACUAGGCCCCCAUAAGCCGGCUAGGCACACUGAAGAUGAUAAUUAACCCAACCGUACCCCCAUAAACCGGUGGGACACACAAGUAGCAAUUAAAGAAAAUAAACGUAAAUGAUAUGUAACUGAACCAAUCUCAAGAAAUCAAGGUAGUCAUCCAGAUAUGCACCGCUUGAACCGGCACCAGUAGGUAGUUACGAGAGGCCAGAUAUUAGACUCGAACCGAUAGUGAUGGAUAAUAACUAGAGGACACAUGCCGGAUUCAAACCGAACAUAGUAGAAAAUAACGAUAGGCCAGAUAUAUUAUAUACACAAGAUUUCAUAAUCAGAUGCCGAACUCGAACCGGAACUCAAAGGAACCACAAUCAUAAUCAGAUGUAGAAACUUAAAGGAACCACAACCAUAGUCAGAUUCUUGACUCGAAUUGGGACUCAUAGUAACCAUAACCAUAAUCAGAUGCCGUACUCGAAUCGAAACUCAUAGUAACCAUGCCCUGUUGUAAUAUUAAAAUUCAUAUCAUACCAUAACAAUGUCCACGUGGUACCAAAAUUCACAAUUAAUGAUAGAAAUAAAGUAUAGACUGAAUCUGAACAGAAGCUAAAAUACGUCUAAAUAACCAUUCACAAAUCUUAAUUAAAACGAGAUAAAUUCAAGGUUUUGCAAUUUAAUUGUACGUCCUAAAGUCCUAGACGUUAUAUUAUAUAGAAAACACAAUACCAAAAUUUACUAGAACGGGGUCCUAAUCCAGAUAAAUAAGACAUGUUAUAUAUAUCAAAUGAUAAGCAAUUACAAGUAUAUAUCCAAAGAGAGCAUAAUACUUCACAAAUUCAGUAAAUAGACUCAAUCUAAAGGUAGGGUAAGUUUAGCCUACCUGGACGCGAAAGUUAAAAUGUAUUUUUGCGAAGAUUCCAGAUAAUGCUAUUAAAAUACGAACUUGAAUAACUUGAUGUAGUUAAUAAAUUUUCUUCCGGGUAUCAAAUAAAUUAUCAAAAUUAUUCACUCCACUAAAAUUUUCUUAGUGUGAACGAGAAGUAAUAAAUACCGAGGCUAAGAAAUUUAACCGUAUAUUAAAGAAAUAGUUUUUCUCAAGUUCAUUACUCUAUGUUAAAAUAUUUAUAUGUUAGCCAAAGAUAUGACUUCUGAAUAAUAUCUAUAUAUAUCUAGAACCUUAAAUUCUACUAGUACUUAAAGUAGUGGGUGACUUUACACCUUUAACUACUAAAUAAUAGCAACAAUGACAAGUAGCAACCACAAUCCACCAAGACAUGUUGUACAUGUUCCUCCAUUCCACGUGGAGUGUUGUGGAAACACCCCUGAUCUCUGUUAUAUUCGCACUCAGAUAUUGUAUAAGUUCAUGAUAAAAUAAAUAUAAUAUUUUAAAUAUAUCAAAAUUAAUAGAAAUUAUUUAUAAUAAAACCUUAUUUAAAUAAUGAUAGUAUUUUAACAUUUUUAAGUUUACUAUCUUCACUUAAAUUAUUAAUAGACUAAAAAAUCUAUUAUAAAGUAAUAUAAAUAUAUUAUCAUUUAAAAAAUUUUACCAGUAUCAAAAUAUUCUAGAAGGGUAUUAAAUUAUAUUUCUACCAAAUGCCAAUUUAAAUAAAAUAAUUCACAAUAUACUAAAUAUUACUAAAAUUAAUCAAACGAACUGCCUGAAAAUCGAACUUUCAAUACCAGCAGGUCAUAAAUAACUUGAGAUAGUUAUAGAAAAUUUCUGGAUACCGAAACUGUAUGAAAAUAUAUAACCGUGAGGGUCAUUACAAUAUCCACUACUAAAAGGACAUUCAUUCGCGAAAGUAAUGUAUAAGGACGUACCCGAGGGCUUAAAUAGGUAAGGAUACUGGGCGUGCAUAUCACGCCUGAGAGGGAGGCUAGUAUAAUGCCCCGAAAUCCUUUCCCGGAGCAUUACACGGUGCUUAAGGCUACAAGUAGCCCCAAGCUAACCCUUUGAGACUGCUACUUAGAAUAAAGCUUACUUAAAGAUAAUGAAAGCAAAAUAAGGAUCCAUAUCUUAUCAUGUCUAACUGAAAUUUGAAUGAGUACUAUAAAGGUAACAAAAUACUACUACUAAACAAACUAGAAAGCCAUUGGGACAUAUCCCCAACUGACUCAAACUGAAUUGAAAGUAGUAGAACAGCUACUAAAAAAAAUACUGAAGUAUCUAGAUAUAGGUCCUUGAACCAUGAGGACUCACCACAGUGAAGAUGUAGAUAAAGGUACUCGGGAUCACUGACGCUACUAGGACUGAGCACCUGAACCUACAUUAUGAGACAAUAUAGCACACAGACGUAUAUGUGGAUCAACACUUGGGAAUGUACUGAGUAUAUGAGGGGUGUAUGCAGCUAAAUAUCAAUGCAAUAAAUAUUUAUAGAAAACAUACAUGGUAUUGUAUAUGACUCACAUAACUUGAGUAAAACUCUCAUAAAUAAUAAAUAAUGAAGCAUGUAGUAUAAAUCACGUGAGCCAUUACACUUUGUUCUAAAUCUGCAUUCUUUUUUUGAUCUCAAGCUUGUAAACUAGUUGAACUCUUAAAACAACAACUUUUAGAAUAUACACUUUAGUCUUUUGAAAACAAGGAACUUCUUUGAAACUCAAGGACUUAAAAUCUUACGAACUUUAAGACUUGAGACUCCAGGAAAGUUGGGAGUUCCUUCUAACCGACAUAAAUUAUGUGAGUUACAUGGAGUCCAACGUCUUGCACACAUUGGGGAGAGCUGUUCUAUCCUUGCCAUUGGAGUAGAACCUUUACUUUUAGUGAUCAGUAGCUUAACCCACUUGGGGUAAAUCAAAUCCUAUGGUGGGUCGUAGUCCUGUGGCAUGAGACCUCAGAAUCAAGCCCAACUCGGUACUAAGUACUACUCCUAUACUAGGCUCAAAACUUUUAGGAAAAUCCACCUUAUACAAUUCAACAUUAUGAAUUGGGAUCUAAUAUGCUUCCCUUUAACUUAAAUCAUAAGAUGUGGAUUCCUUUCUUAACUCAGGAUCAAAAUCAACUCUUUUCUUUAAGCUUUGGUAGACUAUCUUUAACAAGCUUUGAAACUUCAAUGAUAUGGAGAUAUCAAUACCAUACUUGAAAUACUAUAGAAUAUAUCAAAAUUCAUUCUUGGACCUUAAAACAUGUAUACAUAUUCAAGAAAUCUCAAUUCAAAAUAGAGGGUAAAUCAUGAUUUCAACCUUAAGAGUAUUCCAAACAUCAAUCAUGGAAGAAAUAUGCAAUUCAUAAUAUUAAUUCUCAUUUCAAAUCAUAAAAUAGGUGUUGUAUCAUAUAAUUCAAGACUUGAACAAAUUCAUAAUCUCAUAUACUUGAAAUAUAGCAAUUUAGGCAUAAUUCAUCAUGAAACAUUAAAAUCCCUUAAGAAAAAUCAAACUUUGGACACAAGAACGGAAGAAGUGUUCUUGUUCAAACCCCACAUACCUCAGGUUAUGAACUUGGGUGGAUAAACUUGCUUGAGACUCUUUCUCGCACUUUUGGAUAAGGGUUCUUGAAGCCCUUGACUUGGGAACCUUGAAGCUUGACUCAACUUGGUAAAUCUAUGGUGAAUUCUUAAGAUCCUUGGAAGAGGUUUUGGGUACUUAGGGUUUUUAUUUGAAAGAACUCUUAAGAAAACCUCAUAUAAUGCUUGGAAUAACUUCAAAUCUGAUGUUUGUAUCGUUUAAGAGGUUUGAAAAAAGUUUAAAGUGCCCUUUUUAACUUCUGUACAAAGCUGGAAAAAUUGAACUGGAAAACCCAAUUAUAUGAGACACCAGGACGUGCCACUAUCGCAGUAGCUCACUGGAAAUUGACAAAUGGGAUUCUUGGGGUCACCGCGAUGCGGAGCCAUCAUGUUAUCCCACUGGUAAGGACUUGGAACUUUAGUGCGACGUGCCACAAUCACGCUAGGCUAUUGGAAUUUUACAAUUGUCAAAUAAACCCUCUCCGCGAUGCGCCAAGCACUAAAAUGACGCUUUUUUACCACCAGGACUCAAAUUUGCCAUAACUUCUUGUCCGAUUAUUGGAUUUGGGUGAAUCUUAUAUCAUUGGAAAGCUAAUUAAAUUUCCCACUUGAUAAAAAGUUGAAAUUAGGAAAAUUCUAUAUGGUUUUAAUGUUAUAGACUUAGGAAGUCAUUCCUUAGCCUUCUAGAGAUGAAAUUAAACUUAAGGAAAAGUUGGGGGGUAUUACAGCUAGGUAGGUCGGUCGAGAACACAAUAGGAACUUACAAACCAUAGGGACGGAGUCACGUGAUAGACUCUAAACACUAACAUCCUGAACAUAAGAAUGAAAUGACUCACAACCCCUCGAAUUCCGUCUCCUAGCCUAAUGUAAGAAAUAAUCCCUAUUGACGCACGAUUAAUAGAGCCUUGCCACACAACCGGAGAUAUGCCAGGCAAGGCUAAAGUAAUAGUCCUAAAAAAUAAUCAAAUACCGCAUGAUAACGAGAUACCUAAUCCAUGCCUUAAAUCACAUCAAAAUCUAUAAUAUCUAGGACAAUGAGAUCAGCCUGUGUACCAAACCCCCAAAUAAUCACCAAACACGAUCUAUAUACCUGAUCCACUAUUAAAGAAUUACCCACAAUGAUAACUAUAUGCAAUGGCACAGAUAAAGACUCUGAACAUGAACCCAGCCGUGAUGUAAUAAGAAGAAAUAUAUGAAAAUAUAGAAUGAUAAUCAAUCAAUGUAGAAGUUGGAUGAUGGCAUACGAAAAUCAUACCAGUGGUCACAGCAACCGAAGCCUCAGUCUCAAAUAUACCUGGUAUAGAUAUAAAUGACCCUGUUCACUAUUGGACUGGGUGUCUGGCCGACCACCGCUAAAACUUUGAGACCAUCCAUACGACUCUGUGAAUCACCCCUACCUUACAGCGACACUGACCUAAUCGACUGUGAACUCAAAACUAAAGGCUCAAUCAUCCUACACUGAGGACAUUCACGGGCGAAGUGACCAACAACCUGUAAUACCCCACAUUUUUCCUAGCUUAAAUUCAUUCCUAAAAUAUCAAGGAUUUGCUUCAAAGGUGAAUACCUUUUAUUUCAUGCGGUAUUUUCUAGAUUUAGACAUUUUAUUAUGUGGAAAAUUGAAUAAGCUUUCAUUGAUACCAAAUUCGCCUUAUUCCGACACUCAAUUGAGAAGUUAGAGCAUUUUUAGCAAAAUAGUGUGCCACCUGGGCACUUGGCACAUCGCGGAGGUGGGCAAAAUGACAAUCAUAAAUUUCAGUGGACCUCCACGAUAGCCCCGUAUCACGGAGAAGCCUAAAUUCCCAAUUGUACCAUUCCAGUAGCCCAGAGCAAUGUUGGCGCGUCACGCCAGUGGCCAAAAUUUCAAAACUAUAGGGCACCGUAAUAGUUGAGUCUAGUGUUGGAUGCCUAAUUUUCAAUUGUCCAAAUUUCAGUCAGCCACCGCGAUAGUGGCGCAUCGCUUAUGCCACCCAAUUCAGAAAAAUAUUACAUUUUCAGUUUCGACUUAAAGUUUAUAAGGGGCAUUUGGGUUAAAUCCCAAGGCCCCAAUUUGUCCAAAACAAAGAAUUUAACCCAUUCUAAGCCUAUUAUACUUAUUUUUGAUCCAUCGUAUCCAAAUAAAAAAUCCUAGAGUUUAAAGUUUUCUCUCUAAGAAAUCAAAAUCCUCCAUUGUUUCUCCAAGAAAACUCAAAAUUGAGGAUUCUCAAUUCAAGAUAAUCAAGAGGCCAUCUUCAAGAGCACAAUUAGUGAUUCAAAUUCAAGCUUUCUUAGAAAUUUCAUCAAUCAGGGUAUGUGGGGUUAUGAACAAGGACAAUCCUUUUGUCCUUGUGCCCAAAACUUAUCUUAAUUUCAAUUUUACUGAAUUUUAUAUAAUUUCUCAUGAAAUUAAAGUUAGGAUUUAUACCUAUUAUUUUUAUUUACAAGCUUAUGAGAUUUCCAGUGAUUUAGAUGUUGAGUUACUUGAUUAUGUUCAUAUUUUCAUGCAUAUUGCAAAAAUUUCCAAAUUUUGAAUUAAUUUAACAAUGAUUACAUUAUCAAGCGUGAACAUUAUGAUAUUUUAACAUGAGUUUGAUGCAUGGGUCAUUAAGCCCUAAUUAAAGAUUGCUAUUUCAAGAUUUGUUGUGCUAUAAGCACCCUAUGACUAGAUUUUUACUCAUAUGUAUUGAUUAAUGGUAGUUGGAUCGCAUCCCAGCUAUCUAUAGUCAGUAUAGUAGAGGCUUCAUAGACGUCAGUUAAAGUCAGUUAUGUAAUUUUGGUCCCUCUUUUCAUACUUUAUCAGAAUGUAAAAAUUGUAUAAGUAUUGUAUUUUUAUAGAUUCCAUCAUUUCUAUGUUUUUGAAUAGUAAAUCCAGUUAUUUUAUACAUAUUUAAUCAAUUGCUUGAUAGUAUGCCAGUUCAUGGGUUAGCUUGGGAUCACUUGUGGUCCUAAGCACCAUGUGACGUCUUGGGACAGAUUUUUGAGGCGUUACAAACUUGGUAUCAGAGCACAAGGUUCAAGUGUCCUAGGGUGUCUGUGAAGCCGUGUCUAGUAGAGCCUUGCAAAAUGGUACAGAGACAUUUGUACUUUCCCUUGAAAGGCUACAAGGCAUUUAAGAAAAGUUUUCUUUCUUUCAUACUCUAAAUUGUGCUGUAAAGUUAUUCUUUCAAAAACUUCUAUCAAUUCGCGUGUUAAUACAUACUUCUUUAUCUAUGUUGUAUUCUUGAGAUAACAUGAUUAGAAAGCUCCAGUUCCUCCCUAGAUAAUACUUUCAGAUUUACUAGCAGAAACUUUAGAAGUUACACAAGGGGCUUGAGAGGAGCUCCCUAGUGUGUUAAGUUUCUUAAGUUGAAAGUUUAUGUUCUCAUCCUUAUGAGUUAUUGAGUUGAGACAGAAUUAGAUAUGCAUUUAGAUUACCUAUUGAUCCUUUUCAAUACAGAUAAUACUCAUGAGAGAAGAUAGUAUGAACCUUGACUGUUUACUAUGGUAUACAUAUGAGGGAUAUUAUGAACUUUAGUGUUAUGAUUUAUGAAUAGCAGAACCUUAUUAUAGUUGGAAGUAUGGGUAAAUAAGAAUAGUGACGAGAAAAGUGAGAGUGUCGAUUGAUAGAAAGUAUAGAGAUAAACUUAUGCAUGUUAUCGAGAUGUGUUAAGGUGAUAUGUUCUUGUGUGUUAUUUUUAUGGAAGGAAGAAAAUGAGUUAAUAGUUAAGGUGAAUUGUUGUUUGCUUGAAGCACGGAAGAAGUUAUUAUGUAAUUAUUGUGUUUGAAAGGUAUAGGAUAUUGAUAAAGUGUUUGGUGAUUGAGUAUCAUUAAUUUAGGCUUCCCAUAAGGUUACAAAAAAGGAAUUUAGCUGAAACCUAUAGAGCUAUGAUAGUAAACUAAAUGUAUAGAAGGGUGAAUAGUGAUGAUGUGUAGAAGGAGGAUGUGUUAAUGGAUUGUAAAUAAGAUAGGCCAUCUGAUUUUGAUCGAUUAUUAUGGUUACGAGAUUCUAGUGGGCUAGUGUUUCUUGAUGCUUUAUUAUAUAGCUUCCCAGUGAGAAUAUUAAUAGUAUAUGAGGUUGGGUUGUUGCUCAUGUUUAGCACUAGACAUAAGUUUGAACAGUGGGUAGCCAUCAAGGUGGAUAUGAUAAUUUCUUGGUUAGUGAUGCUAGUUAUAUGGAAAUGAUCUAUUAGUCUUGAACAGUAUGUGCAAGAGUUUGAGUUUAUUUAAUUCAUAAAUAAGUAUGAUGUUAUAUGUAUGAUAAAGAGGUAUACCCAAGGUGAUAUGGGGUUGCAGUAUUUUCCAAGGUUAUUACGUAUUGUGUGUGGUUAGCAGUACCGUUGAGUUGCUGAGAGGAAGGAGACUAGUUAUAUAGUAUAUAAUGUUGUUAAUAUCUAAUUUAAGGAGUUAUGAGUAGAUGAUAUUGAGCCUUUUUGGUAUGAUCUUGAUUCUCAUGGUUUAGAAAUAUAAGUUUAGAUAUGUGGUAAUAAUAGACCAUGAUAGAAGCAGUAUGAUUCAUUAAAGGUUGAUGAUACCAAUAUUAAGUGUUAGAAUCUAAGUUUGAAUCUUUGAAGAUUGAGCAAGUAGAAAUAAGAGUUGAAGCCCUAGGUGGUGUGACCUCAGGAUAUGAUUAUACUUAUGAAGAUUCUAAGUUAGUAAGUGUUCAAGAUAUUAUGUGAUGACUAGUGGGGCUAUAGAAAGAUAGAGUUGUACCUCGGAAGGAAGUAUUGGAAGUGGGUUUUUACACUUUCAGGUGUAGUCUUUCAGAGUAAGCUUAUUAUUUGCAUGUAUUGUUGUGUUCUAGAAUUAGAGUGGUGGCUUAAAACUAAGGGGGAGAUGAUAGAAUAAGUACCAAAUUCAGACUUCUAGAUUCUAAUAAGUGAUUCCAGUGUAGUAUAGAAAGUCAAUAAGAGAGGAUAAUGCUCGACCCAUUCUCAUCUCAGUACAAAGUUUCGUACUUUAGUUAUCCUGAUAUUUACUCAUGCCUCACAUGUCGCUUCCCUAACUAUAUCUCAUGUUCAUGCAUAUAAUAGAGAGUCAUGUACUCUCCUAGUUCUUAGUAAGAGGAGUUCUAGUUCAUCCAGCAGUUGGAAUCACAUUCUAUAAGUUACGAACUCCAAAUUCAGGUCAUGCAGCUCAUGACUCAUGUACUCAGGCCUUACAGUAUGUUCAGUUCUAGUACUCAUGCAACACUCUUAACGAGCAACGAAAUUCAGAGUUAUAUCAUGUACGUCCUCAGAUUAGAUCUCUUUAGUGAAUCCAUGACAUGAAUACUCUAUUCCUCAGGCCUUAGCAAAGUGUCAAGUUAUGCUUAGUUUUCCUUCAUGUUUCAGAACCUGGCAUUCAAACCCUUCAAUGACCUCCCCUAGGUCAAGAGAGUGAUGAUGAGAAAAAAAUUAUGUAGAUGGAAGAGAGUGAAUGUGUUAUGUUGGAAAAGAAAAUAGUUGUAUGCUUGUUUUAUGUAAGUCUAGAGGUGGAAAAUAUUGAGGUAAAACUUUUUGUGUAUGACUUAGUUAGUUGAGAAUAUUUUAUGUGUAUUAUCCUAAGAAUUGAAUAGUGCAUGGAAAUUGUUAUUGAUAGAGGUUUAGAGAAUAUGAGAAAGAUGCACUUAUGGGUAUUUGUUUAGAAAUGCAUGUGUGGUUAUGAAAAUAGGCUUGAAUGUUAUGUUGGUAUCUAAGAGGAUAUGUGUGUUGUGCAUUUAAAGAUUUCUAGUAAGAAGUUGAUUUUAGUUGUUAAAGUGAUAAGAAGAAUCAUCCUAGAGUGAGUAGUUGUGUGACAAUGCUUGGGGUAUUGAGUUCACAGUUCAGACUAGUAUUAUGAGGUUAUGUGCAGUACCCUAUGAUUUUGAGUUAGGCUUGACCUCGAUGAGAGAAUUUAGUUCAGUUUAGACUUUAGUAGAUGGAUUUAUCAAUGCCAUGUGAGGAUUAUGAGUUGAAUCAAGUGAGUAUGGUAUUUGAAGGGAAUAGUAUAGUUGAUGGAAUGUUUGAUAAGCGUUACUAAGAUUGAAAGUAUGAAGUUGCAUUGCUUAAGCCCCAGAAAUUCUACCCUGGCUUAUGAUUUAUAAGUUUAUAUUCCAUGCUAUAGAGCCGUAGCAAUGUUGUAAUUCCUUAUUCUGAUGGUUUGUUAAGAUCAAGUCCAAAGUUCUUUACUCCCUAAUAUCGUUAGAGUUUCUUAGAAAAGUGUUAAAGAAAUACUCCAUCUGGGCAUGAGCAUUCAAUAUGAUUCAGUCUGUGUAGCCAGAAAUCCAGUUUAACAGUCAGACAGAUAAAUCUCUAUAGUUUUUCCAUCUUCCGAUUUAGUCUAGUCUCACUAUCUAAAAUUUUUUGAGUAUGGCCAUUUCAAGAGGUAAUUUGUUAGCAUCCAGGUAAAUUGCGAAAUUUUGCUCAGUACAUGCAUCAUGCAUUAGUUUCAGAUUUAGAUAUUAAGUCAUGGUUCAGUCCAUAAGUAUCCUGUAUAUCAUCUCAGUCUUUUUCUAUUAUUUCAACCAAAUUAGUGUCAUUCGGGGACGAACGAUCCCAAGGGGGGAGAUGUUGUAAUAUCUCGAGUUUUCAUGUCAUAAACCUCUCAUAUUUUUUCUCACGAAAUCAGAUCCAGCCUAAAUUAAUGGUUACUCAUAAGUUGACUCUCUCGUUUCUACCUCAGCCAUAUAGCUAUUUUUAUGAGAAUUCAUGCACUCGCAGAUCAGUUUAGCAGCUCAUUACGUUUAAGAUUCAGCUAUUCAAUUUAUUUCAGUUGUGCAUGAUAGCUUAUAGCCUCAGAUUCCUCAGUAUUUUUAGCUUAUUAUCCACAUUCGAGGACAAAUGUUCUUAAGGGGGAGAUAUUGUAAUACCCCGUACUUUUUUCUAGCUUAGAUUUAUCCCUAGAAUGUCAAGAAUUUUAUUUAAAGGUGAAUACCUUUUAUUUCAUGCGGUAUUUUCUAGAUUUAGACUUUUUAUUAUAUGGAAAAUUGAAUAAGUUUUCCAUCAAUACCAAAUUCACCUUAUUCCGACACUCAAUUGAGAAGUUAGAGCAUUUUUAGCAAAAUAGUGUGCCACCUGGGCACUUGGCGCAUCGCGGAGGUAGGAUAAAUGACAAUCGUCAAUUUAAGUGGCCCUCCGUGAUAGCCCCGCAUCGCGGAGAAGCCAUUCUAGUAGCCCAACGUGAUGUUGGCGCAUCGCGCCAAUGGCCAAAAUGGCAAAACUAUAGGGCACCCGAUAGUUGCGCGUCGCGUUGCAUGCCCAGUUCCCAAUUAUCCAAAUUCCAGUAAGCCACCGUGAUUGUGGAGCAUCGCAGUGGCCACCCAGUUCAGAAAAAUAUUACAUUUUUAGUUUCGACUUGAAGUUUUAAAGGGGCAUUUUGGUCAAUUUCCAAGGCCCCAAUUCGUCCAAAACAUUCUAAGCCUAUUGUGCUUAUUUUUCAUCCAUCCCCUUCCAAAGAAAAAAACCCUAGAUUUCAAAGCUUCCUCUCCAAGAAAUCAAAAUCCUCCAUUGUUUCUCCAAGAAAACUCAAAAUUGAGGAUUCCCAAUUCAAGAUAAUUAAGAGGCUAUCUUCAAGAGUACAAUUAGAGAUUCAAAUUCAAGCUUUCUUAGAAAUUUCAUCAAUCAAGGUAGGUGGGGUUAUGAACAAUGACAAUCCUUUCAUUCUUGUGCCAAAAACUUACUUUAAUUCUAAUUUUACUGAAUUUUAUAUGAUUUCUCAUGAAAUUCAAGUUAGGAUUUAUACCUAUUAUUGUUAGUUACAAGUUUAUGAGAUUUCUAGUGAUUUAGAAGUUGAAUUACAUGAUUAUGUUCAUAUUUUCAUGCAUAUUGUAGAAAUUUCUAGAUUUUGAAUUAAUUUAUCAAUGAUUACAUUAUCAAGCAUGAACAUUAUGAUAUUUUAACGUGAGUUUGAUGCAUGGGUCAUCAGGUCCUAAUUAAAGAUUGCUAUUUCAAGAUUUGUUGUACUAUAAGCACCCUAUGACUAGAUUCCUUUUAGAUUGUCAUUAAAGAUUUGACUUUUUUUUGCCUCAGAAAAGGUUUGGAAUCCACUUUACAGAUUCAGAUUAUAGAUUUAGCUUUACAGAUAUACAAUGGGUUUUCAUUGUAAACCACUAUACUAUUUUAAAAGUAAAUUUUCAUCAGAAUGAGCAUACAAAUUUAAUGGGAGUAGUAUUUAGCACCGAAAUGGGUAUAUUACUACAGUUUCAUACCCCAGAACUACGUGCCCACAUAGGAUUUAGAUUGUUCCCACUUCUACGUGGGUGAUAGAUAUGUGAUCACUUAGAUAGGGUAUACUCCCUGGAAAGAGUAUGACUCCUCUCCCCAACGUGAGGAUUCCUCAUUAGGGGGACAAGAACGUUGGACUCUAUGAAUGCUCACAUGGUUUAUUUCAGUUAGAAGAACCCCCCAUGCAGAAUAAGUUUUCAGAUUUCUAAACCCUUAAGAUAAAGUAUUUUCUCUAAUAGAAAAGAAUAACAGAAAAGCUUUUAGAAAACUAUGUGUAAAGGCUCACGAAUUUAUUCAAACUAUGCUUUACAGGAAGACUUUAGCUACAGUUUUCAACUUUCAGACCUCAUAUUUAAGAGUGAGUCCUUUCUACACUUUGACAGUAUGUUUUACAGACAGAACACUUUUACAACUAUCAAAACUAAAUGUUAUGACUUACUAGAUUUAUAAAGUAUGAUUCGCUAUUCAUGAUUAUAGAUUUCAGUAUGCCAGAUAUUCUAGCUUAUGUGAGUCAUUUACAUUUAGCAUGCAUUAUUUUAUAAAUUAUGAUGAUGAGAUGAUGUUUUACUUAUGCAUUUCAUACCCAUAUACUCAGUACAUCCUCAAAGUACUGAUCCACAUAUAUGUCUAUGUGCUACAUUGUCUCAUAAUGUAGGUACGAGUUGUAGCACGCAUUCCAUAUUCAAAUAGUUGCAGAUUUCAUCCAGCUGAUGAUGAGUCCUCCUACUUCGGAGACUUUAGUCAGAUGUUAUUUAUGUACUUUACUUUUUUACUCAUAUGUAUUGAUUAGUGGUAGUUGGAGUCACGUCCCAACCAUCUAUAGUUAGUAUAGUAGAGGCUUCAUAGACGUCAGUUAGAGUUAGUUAUGUAAUUUCGAUCCCUGUUUUCAAACUUUAUCAGAAUGUAAAAGUUCUAUUAGUAUUGUAUUUUCAAAAAUUCCAUCAUUUCUAUGUUUCCGUAUAGUAAAUCCAGUUAUUUUAUACAUAUUUAAUCAGUUACUUAACAGUAUGCUAGUUCAUGGGUUAGCUUGGGAUCACUUGUGGUCCUAAGCACCGUGUGAUGUCUCGGGAUAGAUUUUUAGGGCAUUACACAACUCCAUAGUCAUAACAUGUCCAGGUUGCAACUACAGAUGCAGGUAGUCUAUUUCAGACUUUCUGCAGUAAUACUAAGAAAGGUGAAUGGGUAGUUGAUAAGAGAUGAUAUAAUCCUAAAAUUAAACUAAAAUUAUGGGAGAUAUCAUGUAACUGACAUUCUCCAACCUAAGCUAAUCAGGGUCCAACUUGUAACCUCAAAUGGAAGGGUGCCAAUACCUUUCCAAAGGUAUUAACACUGGUUGUGUGUAUCCAGUAGUCUCAUGUCUCGAAAGACUAGGGUGUUAGUCCUUUACUAUUGGGUGACCCCUAAGAGAGUGUUAGUGCUCUAAUAGUGGGUGAUAUCUCACAACCUAUGAUGGCUACAUUGUUGUAGAACUUAGGGACUGCUACUAAAGAUCUUAAUCCUCUACUGAUGGGUGAGCCUUCACCCCUAGGUUCUCUGGGUGCUAAAUCCUACUCCCAACUAAACUAACACUGGUACUGACUAAAGUUAACUGGACUCAUAACUGAUAAUUUUUCAUCAUGAAUAUGAUAAUCUUAAUAUAAUAAUAAAAUCAUUAUCUAACCGACUUAUUGCUUGAAAAUGAAAACAUGUAUAAACAUAUAGGUAUCAGGGGUUAAAAACCCACUAGCAUUGAAUAAUACUUUAAUGUAUUAGUAUGUUCAUAAUACUCUAAGAAAUUCUUGACUUGUAGAUGCAAGACAUAGUAUAUUUCAUUAAACUGAUGAAAUCCAUGAUUAUGAGUAUGGAAAUAUGUUAAACUUAUGAGGACAACUUGUUCACAUGGUUUAAUUCAUAACUUGACAGAUUAACAUGGUAUUUACCUGAACAUGACAUGGGUGACUGAGAUUAUAGAGAAUGUAAUUCAUGACAAAUCUAUACAAACUCUAAAUCAAGCAAACAAUAACAAGAGUCCAAAUUAAAAAAAUCAUGCUAGAUUCAAGAAAAAAAACCUACGUUAUUCAUUUUUUCAUACAACAUGCUUUCAAGUUCAAAAGAACAACUUGCAUAAUUGGUAAUUAUAGUACCCAACUAGAGCACCAAAUAUUCAAUUGGUCUUGAAGAUUUUCUAACUUAUAAUGACUAUCUCUUUCCUCAGUUAUGAUUGCCAACCAUCCAUUAUCUGGAAAAACCUUUCUAUUAAUGACUAAAACAAAACCACUACUAAAACCAAAAGAUACUCAAUUCAAUGGCUUACCGUAAAAAAACAACCAAAAAAUCAAGCAAUGGGUGAAGUAUGCUCUACCCAAGACUAAUAUCUAAAUACCAAAAAAACUAUUCUAAUCUAGAGGAUAAAAGAAAGAUUGGAAUUUUUAGACUUUCUCUUUUUUCUUUUCAAAUUUUCUUAUCUAAAGAGAGGAAACAAAGAAAAUAACAAACCUAAGGUGUACUUCACCAUUUCAAAAUAUUGUAAGAUAUCCUAUCCACACUUAAUGUCAUACUUUAUCUCAAAAGCAAUAAAUAAAAUAAAAACACCCCAAACCUCUUCCAAAAAUUCUGAAACUCUCUCGGAUGACCCUUUUAACACCCCUAAACAUAUUUUAACUCAUAAAUCAAUGUUUCAAACAUGGAAAGGACAAAAUUAAUUAUUUAAAAUCUCAAGGUUUUAACAUUACAUCUAGUCUUGAUAUGUUGGAUAGUAGCAAACACAUACCUAAUAAUGACAAAAGUAAGGUCCACCUACCAAAUGGGAAAACGGUUGAUAUCUCUCAUAUUGGUAGUGCUUGUGUUCUACAGUGUCAAUCCAUGUCUAAUGUUCUCUAUUUACCUGACUUUUAGCUCAAUCUAUUGUUAGUGUCCAAGCUCAGUAGAUAACUGCAAUGCAUGGUAGGAGUCUUUCCUGAUUUCUGUAUUUUUUAGGAUCUCUCCACUGGUCAGGUGAUGGGGAUUGGUAGAGAAAAACAUGGCCUCUACAUACUAAGAGAAGGAAAAAGUCAAGCUCCAAAGAAGUUGGUCAAUAGAAGUGAAUCUCAUAAUAAGUCUUUCUGUUCUGUUACUACCUCUGAGUCUGUUAAUGUUUGGCACAAAAGAUUAGGUCAUGCACCUGUAGAUAUAAUAAAGAGACAUGACUUUCUUAGGUCACUGAAAAGUCAAGAAAUCUCUCAUUGUACAAUUUGUCCACUAGCUAAACACACAAAACUUUCUUUUCUUGUAAGCUCUCAUGUUUCUAAAUCUGUGUUUGAGUUGCUGCAUUGUGACAUUUAGGGUCCUUAUAGAGUUCUAACUCAUAAUAAAAAAAAAGUAUUUUGUUACUGUAGUGGAUGAUUAUAGUAGAUAUACAUGGGUUUUCUUGAUUGCUACUAAGGCUGACACUAUUGUGGUCCUCAAGCACUUCCUUACACAAGUGCAAAAUGUAUACUCUACCACAGUUAAGACCUUGAGAACAAACAAUGGGGUGAAUUUUUCAGCCAUGUAUUUCAAGCUCUAUUAAGUGAUCUUGGUAUUGCUCAUCAAAGUACCUGUGUGUACACCCUUCAGUAGAAUGGUAUUGUUGAAAAAAAGCACAGAACUAUCUUGAAUAUGGCCAGGUAUCUCAGGUUUCAAGCCUCUAUACCACUCAGGUUUUGGGGUGUGUGUGUCACUACUACAGUUUAUAUCUUAAAUAGACUCCCAUCUAAAGUGAUUGGCUUUAAGUCACCAUUUGAAAUAUUACACCAGCACUCUCCUUCUCCAACUCAUCUUAGGGUUUUUAGUUAUUUGUGUUAUGCUACAAAUCUCACCAUCCUGGAUAAGUUCUCUCUAAGAGAAGUUAUUGCAGUCUUUAUGGGGUAUUUAUCUUCACAAAAGGGGUACUUACUACAUGACAUUCAUACUCACUCCUUCUUUAUUAGCAGACAUAUUACCUUUCAAGAGGAUUUUUUCCCUUUUAAGCAUAUCAAAGCUGGAUCUAAUCCUAUAUUUCAUGUGCUUGAAGUUAUACUUCCUAGUGAUAACCCUACUACUACUACUUCUGAUAUCACUGAUACUACAGAUAACUCUAAUGUCAACACCUCUUUACCCCAUACUACUAUUGUGGACAAUCCUACACCUUCUGAAGCUACACCCUCAUUGGUUUCCCUACCUUAUUUUGCUGGUCCAACAAGCAUAGUAAGCCUCCCUUGUGGCUGCAGAAUUUUAUUACUAAUCCAAAGGGUACCAGAUGCUCUCACCCUCUGUUUAAUCAACUCUCUUACUCUCACCUGUCCCUCUCUUAUAGACAGAUCUUGCGAGCUUAUUCAACUUAGUGUGAACCUGUGUCUUUUAAAGAAGCUGUUGCUGAUCCAGCAUGGGUCAAGGCUAUGCAGCUAGAAAUUACUACACUAGAGCACAACAAGAUAUGGUUCAUUAUUGAUCUUCCACUUGGUAAGAAGGCCAUUGGCUGUAGAUGGAUCUACAAAAUUAAGUAUCUCUCCACCGGUGAAGUGGAAAGAUAUAAAGUCAGGCUUGUGGCUAAAGGCUUCAGCCAAAAGGAAGGCUUGGAUUAUAGUGAAGCCUUCAGUCCUGUUGCUAAAAUGGUGACAGUUGGAUCAGUUGUUGCUCUUGCUGCUACCAAAGGUUGGUUCAUUUAUCAGAUGGAUGUUCAUAAUGCCUUCCUCAAUGGUGAUCUAAUAGAGGAAAUGUACAUGGAGAUUCCUUGUGGUUUUUCCAGACAGGGGGAGACUCAUAAGGUCUGCAAACUUCACAAGUCCUUAUAUGGUCUCAAGCAAGCACCAAGGAAAUGGAACAUGAAGCUGACUGAAGUACUAGUACAUAUGGGAUUCAAGCAGAGUCACUAUGACUACUCAUAUUCACAAAAAUAGUUAAUGGUGACACUGUGGUUGUGUUAGUCUAUGUAGAUGAUCUAUUAUUAACUGGCAACAAUUAUAAACUUCUGUGUGAUACAAUGUAAGAGAUUCAAAAGAAGUUCAAGAUGAAAGAUCUAGGUGAACUAAAAUUCUUUCUAGGAAUUGAGUUCUCUAGAUCAUUCAAUGGUAUAGUAAUGUCACAAAGGAAGUAUGCAUUAGAGCUAGUGGCUGAGACUAGACUAGGGAGAGCUAAGCCUGUUGGCACACCACUUGAACUAAAUCAGAAACUUACAUUAGUGAAGUAUGAUGAAUACAUUAAUAAUGCAAGUGUUGAACGGGAUAACUUGCUUGCAGGUCCUACAACAUAUCAGAGGUUAGUAGGAAGGCUUCUCUAUCUUACAAUGACAAGACCUGAUCUUGCAUUCUCUGUACAAGUGUUGAGCCAGUUUAUGCAUUGUCCUAAGAAAUCACACAUGGAAGCAACUUUAAGAAUAAUCAGGUACAUCAAAGAAGCACCUGGUUUGGGAAUACUAAUGCCUGCAGGAGAGAUAACACAACUCACAGCCUAUUGUGACUUGGAUUGGGGUGCCUGCUUAGAAACUAGGACGUCAGUUACAGGUUACUUAGUUAAAUUUGAAGGAGGACUCAUCUCAUGGAGGUCAAAGAAACAAGAGACAGUGUUAAGGAGCUCAGCAGAAGCAGAGUUCAGGAGCAUGACAACAUGUGUAACAGAAAUAACUUGGCUGAUUGGCCUCUACAAGGAACUAGGUGUAUGUGUAACUACUCCAGUGAACAUGAUAUGUGACAGCAAGACAACCAUCCAAAUUGCUGCAAAUCCUAUCUUCCAUGAAAGAACAAAACAUAUAGGCUUUGAUUGCCAUUUUGUUAGGGAAAGGAUCUGCCAAGGAAUGUUGAAGACUGAACACAUUAACACCAAAGACCAGCUUGCUGAUAUACUAACUAAGAGUCUUGGAAAAGUUCAACACAGUCAGCUUCUUAGUAGACUUGGAAUGAAGGACAUUUUUCAACCAUAAGCUUGAGAGGGAGUGUUGACAGCUAGGAUUGGAAAACAAGUUGUAUGGUGAAAGUAGUUAGGUGAUUGAUUAGUUAGUCAGAGAAUAAUGAGCUGACAGUCACACUAGUGUAGGGACGGUUACUAGAUGCCUAUGUAUAUAUACAAAGUGGAUGCUAGCAGCUAAGUAACACUGUAAUGUAACAGUGCUCAAUAAAAAAAAAACUUUCCCUUUCAAUUCUCUCUCUUUCUUCCUUCUUACUCCUACUGCUAUUUCUUAAGUCUUCUGUAUGAAGUUAUCAUGAAGUUCCCAGGUAAUUACGCCGAAUUCACAAGUGCUUUUGUGCCCUCACUCAAGGCCACAUUUAGUUACAUAAGAUGGCAGGAAAACAUCCAAGUACACAAGACUUGAGCUUCGCUUCAUUUGUAGUAGUUUCAAUUUUCAAUGGAAAUUCAGUUUGUCUGCACAAUCAUAUUAUGUUUGGUAAUAAAAGAGAUCCACAGAUAAUGAAAUUUUCAAUUUAACCAUAUUUAACUUGGGAACGGUCCUAUACAGGCAAAAACCAAAUUUUGAAUGCAAUGUUGUUCUUCAUCCAUAGUUUCUGGGGUUCUGCUUUCACUUUACCACAGAGUGUAUUAAAGGAAGUAGACGGGAAUGCAGAGAGCAUAGUUGGGGGUGGGGGUGUUGGGGAGGGGUGAUGUAGAGAAAAAGAAACCCUGUCUAGUCUCUUGGGAGUAUGUAUGUUAACCAAAGAGUAAAGGUGGAUUAAAUGUUAAAGAUUGCAGGAAAUGAAAUAUUGCAUACGUGGGGAAGUUGUUGUGGCAGUUAGUGGUCAACAAAACCUCUUUAUGGGUAAGAUGGGUGUAUGGUGUUUAUCUGAAAGAGGAUGGCAAUAUUUGAAAUCAUAUACCCCUAGGACAAUAGUUGGUACUGGAGGAAGAUAAAUUUCCUGAAGGAACUUAUGUUAAGUUGGUAUCUUAAUAAUGUCAACCUCUGGGAAGUACUCCGUCACUCAAAGUUAUCUUAAAUUACUUAGUGAUCAUGCUAAGAUGAAUGAAGCAGAGUUAGUAUAGACAACUUUAGCUCAGCAAAAGCACAAGGUUAUUGCUUGGAUUGCAGUUAGGAACAUACUCCUAACCAAGGAAAUAAUGAUGAGAUUGGGGAUGGAAGUGACUGAUCCUACUUGUUGCUUAUGUGAAGUGCAGUCAUUGGAAACAAGUCAACAUCUUUUUGUGGAAUGCAACUGGAUUAAAGGAAUUCACGAAGAGCUCAUGUUAUGGACUAAUAUUCACUUGAAGAUGGAAAGCAUGAAGCAGAUGUUGCUGGACAUUAAAUGUAAACACUGAAAGAAACAUAAAAAAGAGGUGAUAGCAACAACUUGUGAAGCAAUGCUAUAUCAUAACAGGAGAGCUAGGAGUUGGAAAAAUUUUCAGCAUAGAACCAUUAAGGCAGAGGAUGUAACUAGUCAGAUAAAGGAAGAACUUGUACAUAAGAUGGAGAUGCUAGAUUCCUCAAAAAAAGCUUAUAACCGUAAAGUGUGUAUUAGGAGACUUCUUUGUAUAUAGAGUGCUAGUGUCAUCUGUAAGUAGUUGAUUUUUGAGACUCUCCUCUUAAUGUUGCUGUCGAUAGUGAGAGUGCUCUUUAGGUGUAUUGAUUGAAUUGUUAAUGAUACAUUUACAUAAUUACCAAAAAAAAAAAAUUUGGGAAACGGUGUUAAUAUGCUAAAUGCUAAUCACAUGAAUCCUUUCAAUCAUUUCAGUGAUUAAACUAAAAUGCUUUAAACACAAGAAAAAGUAAUGAAUAUCCAGGAUAAAGGUUACUUGUGUCAGCCGUUAAAAAUCUUGGAAGAUGGGAUUGUAACUUUUCUACUCAUGUUAAAUUUCCUCUCUGCUAUGAUAACAGAGACAUUCUCAAAUUUUAAUAUACUAGUUAAUUUUGCCCCAUUUCAGAGUCAUAAGAAACCUUUUCAGUUUUACAUUUAGCAAAACUUGAUGUCAUCUUUUAUUUUUCUUUCAGCAGAUAUUUUGUAAGAGGAGUGAAAAGAAAUUAAAGGAGGGCAAAUAUGGCAAAGAAGAAAGGAUGAUUGGAAAGUGCACCUACAUCAAUUCAUUUUCAAUAAAGGGUGUGUUUGGUAUGAUGGAAAAUAUUUUCCGGAAAAUGUUUUUCAAUUUUUCCUUGUUUGGUUGCAACAAAAGUUUAGGAAAAUAUUUUUCAAGACAAUUUAUUUUCCACCAUUUGAUGGAAAAUGACUUCCCUCAUGGGCCAAGAGAAGUCAUUUUUCAGAAAAUGACAAAUGUGACUUAUGAUCUCAUCCUCACCCCUCUUCCCAUCCCAACAACACUUAUAUAUUCACAUGACUCAAAAAAUUUACAUUACUCAAAAAUGUUUUUCACUGUGCUUUGCUUUAAUUUUUCACUAUUUGAAAUAAAAAAUAAUAAAGUCCGAUUUUUUUUCAUUUUCAAUUCGUUGAAUAUAUUGUUAUUUUCAUAUGCAUAGAGGAAGACUUACUUAUGUUAUCUUUGUUAAUUGCAUAUUUCAUUUUGUUAUCGAUGUAACUUGUUUCACGAGGUUGAAUAAGUUUGUCGUUCUGUUACAUUUCUAUUAAUUGUAGUAUCUUAAGAUUGUCCUAACAAAAUACUGAAAAGUAUCUUCUAUAUUUGUUAAUUAAUAGUUGCUUAAAUUUAGUGAUCGUAAUAUUAUAGUAUUCGAUAUUGAUAUUAUUUGUUAUACUUAAAUUAGUUCUUACAAAUUAUUGAGUUGCUAAAGGCACCGAUAUACUAGUUAACAGAUAGUAGUAUUUUCUAAAAAAUAUUUUUUCACUCAUCAAUCGAACACUAGAAAAUAUUUUUCUAAAAAAUAUUCUCUACUCACCAACCAAACACCAUAAAAUAUUUUUCGAAAAAUAUUUUUCAUUCACCAACCAAACAUGAAAAAAUAAAUAGAAAACUAAGUUAUUUUUCAGAAAAAUAUUUUUCAAAAAAAUAUUUUUCAUGGAAAAUAUUUUUCAAAAAAAUAUUUUUCAUGGAAAAUAUUUUGGAUCGUACCAAACACACCCCAAAUGCUCACAACUUGUCAAAAGUUCAAAAAAGCAGCAGGAGCCAGGAAGCUCACAACUCCCUUAUCCACUCACUCCCACUAGUAACUUAUUGGAUCUAAACCAACUAAUAAACAUAAGAUAUUUCAAGUGUUAGUGAGAAAAGAUACUUCAAUAUUAGCAAUGCAGUUCAUCAAGGGACUCACAAGGAAGAAACAAUCAUCAUCCUCUGCCUCUGCAGAAACGCGGAAGAAAGAGCAUGAUUAUUAUUUAGAGAAUGGAAGUGCAGUACUAGAGGAGCUUCUUGCUUUAUGCGAUGGAAAUUGCCGAAUUCCCAUCCGUUACUUCACUGCCACUGAUAUAGAAAGAGCAAUAAAGCACUCUGAAAACAAAUUGUAUAUCGCCGAUGGGCAUAUGGUUACGGGAUCAUUGGACAAACGCCUCGUUUUCAUUAGGACUUUCCCUGGAUAUUUUAGAAACCAUUUUAAUAAUAUUUUCCGAGAUAUAGCAAUUACUGCUCAGAUGAGUCAUCUCAAGAAUGUGUUGAGACUUGUCGGUUGCUGUAUCGAAUUUGAAGAACCAGUUAUGGUGUAUGAAUAUGUUGAGGCAACAAGUCUUUAUGCUUUACUUUUUGAAAAGGAUAAUCAUGAUGAUGAAACUAGAAAAUCAUUAUUAUCUUGGGGAAGUAGAUUACGGAUUGCCCACAAGGUCGCUUCGGCAGUCGUUUUUCUACACACUGAAUUUACUACACCCAUCAUCCACAGAGAUCUGAAGCCAUCAAAUGUGAUUGUAGAUCAGAACAGCGGUGUUGCAAAACUAUUGAACUUCUCAUUAUCCGUAUCAUUACCCCAGGGAAAAUUGGAAGUAGUAAAAGAUGUCGUUUGUGGAACGUAUGGGUAUGUAGCUCCAGAAUAUUCGGAGUGGUGUAUGAUUACUCAAAAAAUAGACGUCUAUAGCUUCGGAGUUAUUCUCCUACAGCUACUAACUAGACGGAAUAUGACUACUCUACAUUUAAAGGAUCGGGAUAUGUACUACAUAGUGGAUCCUUCAGAUUCAGAUUUUAAGAUGCUAAACAUUGAAGAGAUUCAUGUAAUGGACAUAGCAGAUCCGGCCAUUUUGGAAGAACAUGGCAUUAAAAUUCGACAACAAUUGGAGGACUGCUUGGAUCUUGUUAAGAAAUGCACGGCUUAUAAGGGAGAAGAGAGACCAUACAUGAUUGAAGUUGCAAAGGAAUUAAGCCGAAUUCACCACUGCUUCCGUGCCCUCACUCUUUGCCGGAAUUAGUUACAUAAGAUGGCCAAAGAAAAAAAUAAAGUGCACAAGAAGUAAGCUCGGCUUUUUUUGUAGUAGUUUCAAUUUUCAAAAAAAGGUCAGUUUGUUUGUACGGUCAUAUUGUGUUGGAUUAAAAGAGAUCAGCACAUAAUAGGAGUUUUAUUAUUUUUUCCUUGGUUAACUAAAUAGACAAAUACUCGUUUCAUUUUACUUGAUUCUAACGCUCCUCAUUCCGUAAUAUUCCGUCCAAUUUACCUACCACCAAUAUUUUAUUUUUGUUUUUGGAAAAGUGAAAGGCUGACAUUAGAUAGAACUUGAUUAACAAUGACAAUGAAAGUGCAUGGAAAUUCAGAAGAGAGUCCAAUCAAUCUCCACCAUAUUCAAUUUGCUGUCAUGUCAUGUGGAAUUCAAUGUAAAUAUUAAGACCAGCAGGAAACUUCCAAAUUAGCAUCAACUCAUCAAGACUAGAGAACACGAUAGAUAUCGAGUGUCGCAGAGAAACGAUAACUUCAAAAUUAGCACAAGCUAUUGGUAAGAAAAAGUGCCUUUCUUGAGGGGACUCGCAACUAAAAUCUUUUUCCCUUUGCCUAUACAGAAAGGAAGAAGAAAGAGCAGGAUUGUUAUUUAAAGAAUGGAAGUUCAAUACUAGAGGAGCCUCUUGCUCUAUGCGAUGGAAAUUGCUGACUUCCCGUCCGUUACUUCACCACCACAGAGAUAGAAAGGACAAUAAAGGACUCUAGAAACAAAUUUAAGCUCUCCGAAUGGUAUAUGGUUACGGGAUCACUGGACAAACGCCUUGUUUUAGUCAGGUUUAAUGAACGUCACUUCACUGUGCAAUUACUGCUCAGAUGAGCCAUCUCAAGAAUGCGCUGAGACUAGUCGGUAUCUGUCUAGAAUUUGAAUCACCAGUUAUGGUGUAUGAAUAUGUUGAAGGUAUAGCUCUUAGCGAUCUACUUUACAGAGAGGGUAAUCAUGAGGAUCAAACUAGAAAAACAUUAUUAUCUUGGGAAAUAGAUUACAGAUUGCCAAUGAGGUCAUUUCUGCAGUCGUUUUUCGUUAUACCGAAUUUACUACAUCCAUCAUCCAUAGAAACAUAAAGCCUGACAAAGUGAUGAUAGAUCAGAGCAGUGGCGGUGCCAAAAUAGUGGACUUCUCACUGUCAAUAUCAUUGCCUCUAGGAAAAUUAGAGGUAGAAUAUGUUGUUUGUGGAAAAUUUUGUUAUAUAGAUCCAGAAUAUGUCAUCUCACUGUUACUCAAAAGGUAGACGUUUAUAGCUUUGGAAUUCUUCUCUUUGAGCUAUUAACUGGAAAGGAAGUGCGAGAGAUUAUGAAAUCCAAUAUUAGAGAGGGUAAUGUUAUGGAUAAAAUGUAUUCUGCAAUUUCAGAAGAGACAACAGAUUUGGAAGAACCCGCUAAAUUUAAUGUUGAAGAGGACAAUGUUAUGAAUAGAGUAAAUUCAAUUUUAAUGAAAGACUAGAGUCUGAAGAAGAUUCCACAUUCAAUACUGAAGAGGGUAAUGUUAUGGAUAGAGUGGAUUUUGCCAUUCAGGAAGAGAUAAUAGAUUUUAAAAAUCUUCUAACCAACAUCGUCCAUCGUUAUAUCAAAGUGGGUAAUGUAGUGGAUAUGGUGGAUCCUACCACUUUAGAAGAACACGGAAUUGAGAUUCAACAACAAUUGGAAGAUUUCUUAGAUACUCUGAAGAGAUGCACAUCAUCAAAGGGAGAAGAUAGACAAUACAUGAUUCAUGUCGCAAAGGAAUUACGCCGAAUUGAGAAGUGUUUCCGUGCCCUUACUCUUGGUCAGAACUAAAUUCAAGUGCACUUCACCAAUGUUUCACUUUGAAAACUGGAAAAAAAGAACAAGAAGAAGAGAAGAAGAGAAGAAGAGAAGAAGAGAAGAAGAGAAGAAGUUCACCUGUAUAUAUAUUUGGUUCCAAUUUCAAGUAAAUUUAGCUUGUUUAUACGGUCAUAUUUAUGUUGAACAAAUAUGAGAUUUGCAGACAUUGAAGUUGCCAAUUUGAUCUUUCUGUUGUUCUAUUUGGACUGAUUUCUCCUUCAUUUUCCAGUUUGCAGGAAAUAAAAGUGAGACCAUAUUAAUUAUAUUUACCAUGAAUUUAAGAAAAAAAAUCAGACUAUGCCAUUUCAUGUCAUUUAUCCUUUGUCUUUACCAUUAAGCCAGGUCCAUGUAAUUAUAAUUGGCCAUUUUGUAAAUGGGUACAAAACACCCCAUCUAUAUCAAGUUAUUCAAAUUUAAUGCGGAAUAACCAAGUUAAAUCAAUAUAAGUACUAGAGCAGAAAAACAAGUGCACAUAAAUGUUGGAGAACAAUAAUAAAAUAAUACCAAUAUUAUUCAACUAUUAAUAAAAUAUUAUAAUAAUAAUAUUAGCAAUACAAUAACAUAACAUUAUAUAAUAAUAUUACUACUUCAGUGAUAAUAUUAUAAUUAAUAUGGCAAUAUAACAGUAAUCUAACUACUUCUUAACAUGUUAAUAAUAUAUUCAUUAUACUUGAGUCGUGCUAGGCACUGUCCUAAGAAACUAUUUCAGUAGUAUGAAAUGUUUUUUCAGGAUUAAACAAGCACUUCCCUGAUCAAUUAGAGGAUAUUCUGAGUUAAAUAAAUCUUCCCUAAUUAAUUAGAGGAUACAAGAAUCAACAAAAUUAUUAAUACAAAUAUUAGCAAGUUAAAUCAUAGGUUUAAAUAAGAGAAAACUAAAGAGGAAAUUUAGAAUGUUAAGGAUUGAGGGAGUAUUUAUAGGUAAGACUUAACUUCUCAAGUACACCUCUUGAUGGCUUCUAAAGUAAGUCUUCUCAAUUAUCUCUCUUAAUGGCUUCAAAAGUAAGUUUUCUCAAGUAUAUCUCCAGAUGACUUCCAAAGUAUAUCUCGUAGUGACUUUCAAAGUAAGCCUUUAAGUGGCUUCUAAAAUACAUUUAAAGACAUAACUUUUUUCAAUAUACUUCAAAUGUAAAUUAUUUUGAAAUAAUUAAAUAAUUUUCCUACAAUCCCCACAUUAUUUUAAAAUAAUUUUAAAAAAAAGAAUUUUAACUUAUUGGAUUUGCAUAGACAAAAUGCAGUGGGUUUGGUGUCUUCUGGAUUAGGAACCAAACUUAUACCAAUAAAAUUUAACUUACAGAAUUAUCGGAGAAAUAUAAUAUUUCUAUGAACUGAAUAAUUCUUAUUGUAAGCUAGAGAUUUUAUUAAUCGCAUUUUGACUGUAAUUUUGUUGUUCAAUGUAAUUUUGCGCCAAUAGGCCAUGCUCGUGCCUAGUAUUCAUAAGAGAUCUAGAGACUAAGGCCAAAAGUCUCAUAAGAACAACCUCAUUCCACUUCUCAUAUAGAUGAAUUCAUCAAGUGUACACUGCUUUAAAUACACCAUCUAUAAGGACUAUGAAUUCAUUAAUAGUUAAUAAUUCAUCUCUCCAUUUUAGUAUCAGUUCAAGCACUCUCAAUAAGUCUGCGGUGUCAAUAUCGACUUGUUAUUACCCAUAUGAACCUAUUUCAUAGAAUCUCUAAUCAUAUAGGUUGAGUUACCAUCUCCAUUGAAAAUUAUAUUGGCCUUAACCCUAUCUCUUUUGAUGUUUGAAGAAUUAAUUUUCUUCCCACGAGUUUAGUCAGUGAAUCGGCCGAAUUCAAUUAUGACUUCAAAUAAUCAAUAAAAAUUAUUUCAUUUCUCAGCAGCUGCUUAACAACAUCAUGCCUCAACUUCAUAUGUCUACUCUUACAACUAUAAGAUUUAAUUUUUCGCAAUAGCAAUUGCGGCUUGACAAUUACAGUGUAUAUAUACAUGAGGCAUCAGAUCAUCCUUUUUUAAAGAGAUAUUAGACAACAAAUUAUCCUUUUUCAAAGGGAUAUUAGGUAACAAAUCAUCAUUUUUCAAAGGGAUAUUAGGCAACAAAUCAUUCUUUUUCAAAGGAAUAUUAGGCAACAGAUCGUCCCUUUUCAAAGGGAUAUUUGCUAAGAAAUUUCUUAACCAUUCAACCUCAUUACCAACUAACUCCAGAGCUACAAUUUCUGAUUCCAUAGUUGAGCUAGCAAUAAUUAUCCGCUUAGCUGAUCUCCAUGAUACUGCACCACCACUAAGGGUGAACACAUAACCACUAGUAGAUUUUGUCUCAUCUGAAUCAGAGAUUCAAUUUUCAUCACAAUAUCUUUCUAAGGUUGAAGGAAAUCCACUAUAUGAGAUACCAUAAUUUACGGUUCCUCUCAAAUAUUUCAUCAGUCACAUUUGUACAGACCAAUGCUCAUUAUUAGGAUUAUGAGUAUAUCUACUCAGUCUACACACAACAUAGGCUAUAUCAAGCCUAGUAAAAUUCAUUAAAUGCAUUAGACUUCCAAUAACCUGUGCGUACUUAGACUGAGCAACUGGCUCACUAUUAUUCCUUUUUAAUUUAGAAUUAGCAUCAUAAGGAGUGGCUACAGUAGUUAUCUUCCAACAUUCAAACUUCUUAAGAAGUCUUUCCACUUAAUGUUCUUGUGACAAAAUUAUACCAUCUUCACUCCUUAUAACUUUAAUUCCCAAGAUUACAUUCACUUCACCCAGAUCUUACAUAUCAAAGUUAGUAGACAAAAAUAGCUUGGUAUGUUCUAUAAUAUCUAAACAUGUACCAAAUUUAAGUAUGCCAUCAACAUAUAAAUAAAUUAUCACAUAAUUAUGUCUACCACUUUUUUAAAAACACAUUUAUCCACCUCAACAGAAGAAAAGCCGUCUUUUAUUAAGACUUGAUCAAAUUUCUCAUGCCACUAUUUAGGAGCUUGUUUAAGGCCAUAAAGAGAUUUACUUAAUUUACAAACUUUAUUUUCUUGUCCAAAAAUUAUACAUCCUUCGGGUUAAACCAUAUAAAUUUUUCUUCUAAAUCGCCAUUUAAGAAAACCGUUUUUACAUCCAUUUGAUGGAUAAACAACUUAUGAAUUGAUGCUAAGGCAAUUAAAAUUCGAUAGAAGAAAUUCUUGUCACUGGUGCAAAUAUAUCAAAGUAAUCAAUAUUUUAUUUUUGAGAAAAUCCUUUAUCUACUAAUCGAGUUUCAUAUUUAUCUAAAGAUCCAUUCGAAUUAAGUUUUAUUUUGAAACAACCAAUCGAUUUUGCAUCAGGAGGUAAAAUCAAUUAAAACCCAUGUAUUAUUUUUCAUAAUUGAAUCAAGUUCAAUUUUUAUUGUCUCUUUCCAAAAUUUAGCAUCAGAAGAAGAUAUAGCUUCAAAAUAAUUUGAUGGUUCAUUAUCAACAAGAAAAAUUUUAAAUCAUUUCCAUAAGAAAAAUAUUCUUUUCUAGGCCUUUUACUCCUUCUCAGUUCCUCAAUAUUAGAGGUACAUUCAUUUUCUCUUUCAAAAGGUGCAUGUGAGAUUUUACCACAUAGUGAAAAAAUAUGUUCAAAGAAUUCAACAUUCUUUGUCUCAGUUAUAGUAUUAAUAUCAAGUACAUCACUUUUCAAGACAAGAAAUCUGUAUGCAGCACUAUGUUCAGCAUAUCCAAUAAGCAUGCAAUCAACAGUUUUAGAACCUAUUUUUCUCUUUUUAGGUUCAGGAAAACGAACUUUAGCAAGGCAACUCCACACUUUUAAAUAUUUCAAAUUAGGUUUAUAACCUUUCCACAAUUCAUAAGGAGUUUUGCCAGUUCUUUUAUGAGGAAUUCUAUUCCGUAAAUGACACGCAGAUAAAAUAACUUCACCCAACAAAUUAUCAGGUGCAUUAAAGCUAAUUAACAUAAAAUUCAUCAUUUCUUUCAAUGUCCUAUUUUUUUCUUCAGCUACACCAUUAGACUCAGGAGAAUAAGUGUAACACCCCGCAUUUUCAAACUUAUCUUUGAACCAUCGUUCUUACGUGUAUAAGUUAUAAUCCAAAUAAUUCCCAUGUGAAUAUAAAUUUCAUGAUCUUUAUCCUCGUGUUUGAUGUGAUUUUGAGGUGAAAAAUAUUCAUAGCAAUGACCACUACAAAAAACGGGGUUAAUUGCGGGGUUAUUUUUGAAGGGGUUAUUUUAAUCUCCGUAAAAUUAUAUGAAUCGCGGGGGCUAAAAACUUGCAGCUAAAAUUUAUGAAUUUGCGGAGGUUUUUUUAAGGGGGUUAUUUUAACCCCGUAAAAUUAUAUGAAUUGCGGGGGUUAAAAACUUGCCGCUAAAAUUUAUAAAUUUGUGGGGGGUUUUAACCCCCGAUAUUCGUCGAAUAUAUUUGCGGGGGUUUAAAACCCCCUCUAUCCAUCACAAUUUUUAAUUAUUUUUAUUUUUUUAUAUUUUUACAAAAAGCGACGGAUAGUGUCACUUUUGUUACAAAUAAAUAAAAAUUAACUUUAUAAAAAUGACGUUGUUCGUCGAUAUUUGCUAUUUUUAAUUUACUAUUUUAAUUAAAUAAUUUUUAUAUUUUAAAAAUUAAAUGUAUUCAAUUAUAUAUUGAAUACAUUGAUAUCAUACGAUCGAUUGAUCAAGGUAAUAAUAUAUUGUUCAAGUCUUGGAAACAGUCUCUGGCAGAAAUAUAUGGUAAGGCUGCGUACGAUACACCCUUGUGGUGGGGCGCUUCUCCGGACACCGUACAUAGGGGUAGAUUUAGUGUACCGGGCUGCCCUUAUAUAUAUAUAUAUAUAUAUAUAUAUAUAUAUAUAUAUAUAUAUAUAAUAUCUCUCAUGUAGUGAAUCUAUAUAUCCAAAUAUUUUGAAUAACAUGUUAACAUCGUAUGAUCGAGGUAUGAAUACACUAUUGAAGUUAUAAUAAUGAAGCUAAUUAACCAAUAAUUCAUUGGAUUAAUACGUUGUAUUACUAUACAUAUAAUACCAUAUUCAAAAUUAAUUAAUCAAAAAUUAUUUGUAGUAUACGAAAUGCAUUGACAUUAUUAUGCGAUUGACAUCAUUAAUUUUAUUUACAUAAUUUAUUUAUAAUUAAUUUAAAAAUAAUAAUUUUAUUUAUUUUUAAUAUUAAUUUAUGUAGUUUCUAUAUUUAUUAAAUAUCAACCUAAUUCAAUUCAAUUUUCCUAAUUUAUUUAAAUUCUAGCCAUUUAUACUCAAUUUAUGUCAAUUGAGUUUAAUUUGACUCAAUUAAAAUCCCCAAUUCAAUCUUUUUAAUCCAAUUUCUAAUCCCAAUUUAACUCAUCUCCUCAAUUCUAAUCUUAACCGUUCAUCAUAUUUGAUCAGCGGUUAAUAUUAAAUCAAUUUUAACUAUUUGUUUUCUUGAAAUUAGGCAACUUAUUACUAUUUUUCUUGAACCAGGGGUCUGUUGAAAACAACCUAUUUUCCUUAAUGGUAAGGUUGGCGCACACUAUACCCUCUACAAACCCCAAUUUAUGGGACUAAAUCGAGUUAGUAAUUGUAUUCAUUUUCUCGAAAUCUCAUAAAUAAAACAAUCAAAAAAUGUCACCUUCAUUGAUUAUUAUUAUUAUUAUUGUUGUUGUUGUUGUUGUUGUUGUUGUUGUUGUUGACACUCAAUUUUGAUCUCCCGAUGUUCUCUUAGGCUGUUAUUUUAUCAAAAUUAUUUAAUUUUAGAUAUUAAUAUUUUUUAUACAUUAUUCUUGUACUAUAUAAAUAACGACGUGUCACAUUCAUGAUUUUUAAAUAUAUACAAAUUAUUUUAUUUCUUACUAUUAUUUUUAUAAUUUAUUAAUUCAAAUAUAACAUUUUACAGCAUUUUAUUAAUAUUUACUAAAUCAUUUUUUCUUCAUAAAUAUGCACUCACAAUUUACAAAUAUAUUAUCUAUUAUUAUUAUUAUUAUCAAUAAUUUUUAUUAUAAUUUUUCGUGACAUUAAAUUAUUUUAGGGACAUCUUGUUAUUAUUAUUAUUUUAUUUAUUAAAUUUAUUAAACUAACAAUCAUUUUUAUUUAAUUUUCCUUUCUUGUGUUUAAUCUUUAGUCAAUUUUUAUUUUAAUUGAUAUCAAUUUUAGUCAAUUCUGACAUCAAUUUUGUCCAUAAAUUAAAUCAUAACUUUUAACUCUUUUUCAAUAUUACUCUAUCAGAUUUUAUCUCAUCCAUUGAUAAAAAAUGAUCCAAUGACUGAGAUCAAAUCCCUAUGCCAUUCCUUUUUAAGCAAAAUCAACAAACCCUAAUUCUAUUUUUCCAAAACAAAGCCGCAUCUACCUUCUCUAUCUUCUUUUCCUUCUCUCUAAAACCAAACCAAUGCCAAGUACUAGCCGUCUCGCCGGCCUCCACCGCCCCUUCUCUCUCUCCCCCUCUUUCUCUUUUCUUUCUUUUCGUCCAUCGCUCAGCUGGAAAAUCCCAUUGCCGUCUCCCCCUUUUCUCCAUUCCUACUUCCAGCCGGCGCCAACAGUCGCAAUCCCAACAAAAAAUCCAACCGGAGCCCCGUCGACGCUCAUUUCCAGACAAACAACCAUCACUGACUGGCGAAUGAUCCUCCCAGUGAAGCUGAACUUGUGCCAGCCGUCGCUGACCGACGAAACUCGCCCCGAAUUAAUGACUUGAACUCAAAAUUGGUGAUGGUAUAAACAUUGAUCUCUCUUUAUUUCUUUGAAUUUAAUAACUAUUAGCUUCCUUCCUUUGUUCCUUCUAAUAAUUUUAGAAUUACACUUUAUUUUUCUUUUUAAUUUAAUUUUCUUGAUUCCUUUGUUCCUUUUAACUGCAAAAUCAACAAUUUGAGUUUCACUUUUAGUGGUGUAGUGCAGUAUUUAUCCAUAUUUUAUAAAGCAAUUUAUUAGUGGAAUUGUGUUUUUCAUCCAUUUUCUCAGGUGGGUUUGAUUUUCUUGAAGGUUUUUAUUAGAUUUAAUUGAUUAGUAUAGUAGUUUAACUGCAAAAUCAUCAAAGUUGGGUUCACUUUUAUUGGUGAUACUAUAAUAAUUUAUAUAGAUUUAUUAGUGGAAUUGUAUUUUUCAUACGUUUUAUUAGGUGGGUUUUGGUUUUCUUGAAGUUUUUGUUAGAUUUAGUUGAGUAGUGUAGUACUUUAACCAAUGCAUUCUAUAGCAAUUUAUGAGUGGAAUUGAGUUUUUUCAACCAUUUUGCCAGGUGGGUUUUGAUUUUCUUCGAGUUUUUUGUUAGAUUUAAUUGCUUAGUAUAUUAGUUUAACUGCAAAAUCAUCAAGUUGGGUUCACUUUUAGAGGUGUUGUUUAAUAAUUUUGUAUAGAUUUAUGAGUGUUCUAUUUCAUGUUUCAUUACGACCUUGGUGUACUAUUCUAUAUCUUGAGCCGGGGGUCUGAUGGAAACAGCCUCUCUACUUCUUCCAAGGUAGUGGUAUGGUACAUUUUACCCUCCCCAGACCUCACUUUGUGGGAAUUAACUAGGACUGUUGUUGUUGUUGUUAAUUUAAUUUUUUUAUAUUAUGCAAUAUCCGCUUAGAAUUGCACUUUAUUUUGUAUAUUUCUUUGAAUGAUUUUUACUGCUUCUUUUGCUUCAAUUUUCAAAAGUCUAGUCUUAACUUGGUUUGGAUUGAUGCAUCAGGCUUUUAAAUGGAAACAAGCUUCAUGGAUCAAUCCCUACAUCACUUGUCAACCUACAAUCACUUUCUUACUUGUGAGUGGUUUAAUGUUAAUAAUUUACUAUCUUUUGGCUAUCUGUUGGAUUAAGAGAAUAAGAUAAUGGAGAAAACCUUCUAUUGAAUAGAGUAAUAAGUAUAAUUUUCUUUUGUAGACUGCAAUUUUCUAAUUACCAAAUAAUGUGUGUUUAUACAGAGAUCUUUUUGCCAACUCCUUGAGUGGAAACUUGCCACCAUUUCAGAUGAAGUCUUUACAAUACAUGUAAUUAUUGCUACUUUAUUAAAACAAUUAAUAAUUUGUUAUCAUGGAGUUGUUUCCCUAAGUUUGUUACAACAUACAAAUAUAUAACCGUGCAAAUCUUGAGGUCUAUUAGAAAAAUAGGAAAAAAAAAACAUCAAGGAGUAGGCUUUGAGGUGUGAAUAUUCAAGAUCUUUAAAUAGAUCUUGGUUGUAUAUUCUUUAGUAGAUUACAAGCAAAUCUCUUCAGGAAAUUCUUUGUAAUCUGUAAUUUGAUUAGUUACUUGACAUUGUGAAUUUGUGAGACCUAUUUAUAUUUAUCAUGAUGUUUUUUAGUUGUACACAGAUAUAAAUGUAAUAAGGAUUGAAGGUUUAUCUGAUUGAUUUUUAUACUUUGCAUUUUUAUGUAGCCAAGUGAUGCGGCUAGUGGACGCAUUUCGCCCAUGGAUGCAAGGAGACCACGUGAUGAUAGUGAUCCUAAUGAUAGUCGUUGAUUUGGUUGCAAAUUGUCUUGAAUAUUCAAUUAGAUGAUGUAAUUGUGUGGUUGAAGCGAAUCUUAGAAUAGGUUUUGUGUUUAAAUUUGAUUUUGGAAUUUGAAGAUACUAGUUAAUGUUAAAAAAUUGGAGUUAGAAAUGUUAAUGUUAAAAAUUUAAUUUUGAAGUUCAAUGUUCAAUGUAUUUUUGAAAUGCUUGUGAAUUACAAUGUUUAAUUAGUCAUGUUGUGUGUUAAUGAUAUAUGAAUCAAAUAAAUAUUAGAUUGUAGGUUAUGCUAAAGGAAUAAUUAAAUUUGAGAUAAAAUUAGAAUUUAUAAUUUGUUAUUGAAAAUUGAUCGGUUUCACUAAUUUUUUUUUAAAAUAAAUAAAUUGCGGAGGUUUUAAACUGCCACAAUUUUGAAAUAAAAAUUAAUUAUAAAAAAAUAAAUUCAGAGUAACGAAGGUCACGACCGCCGCAAAAUAACCCCUGCAAAUUAAUUAUGGGGGUCGAAAAAAAACUGCCGCAAAUUAUUUGUGAGGGCUCGUAUUCCGGGGGUUUUGAAAACCGCCGCAAUUAAACCCCCGCAAAUCUUGACAUUAACCCCCGCAAUUUGAUCAAUUUUUUGUAGUGGACUUAGAACAAAGUUGAGCUAAGAUCAUUUGAUUCGUCCAAAUUUAAUAUUCAAUUCUAUAAGAGUCUACUUUAAAUGUGUAUAACUUUUAAAAUACGUGAAAUUUUUCAUCUCAAGACCCACCAAAUUGUAUAUAUUUUAAUCAUCUUUUUAACGAACCAAUUUCAUCAAAAUCUGAUACCCGAGCAAAAAGUUACAACUAUUUUUGUGAGAGACAGUAAGCCGAGGCGAUAUCUCGCGCCGCCCGGGUUACAACAUCGCUCUAGAUGGGGCGCUGUGGGAUCUACUCCCUUGGGAUAAAGAGGGAGGCGCCUUGUCCAUUCCCCAGCUAUUUUAAACUCCUUAAGGGUCAAGGAGCACUUUGAUCCUUUCCACUCAACCCCAAAUGUCCAAUGGACGAUUUAUAACACCCCAAAGGGCAUUAUUUGUCCACUUAUCAUCAUCAAAACUCACGCAAACCCUCCCUUUUUCUCACCAUGAAUAAAGUUCAACUUUUAUCUCAAAAACACAAGGAUUUAAGUUUAGAAUUCAAUAUUUCUACAAGAAUCCAAAAGUUAAAGCUUCCUAGUUCAAUAAACCUUCAAGAAUUAUCAAGAAUAGAGAUUCUUUCACAAGUUCAUCAUUCAAGUUCCACGAUUCAAGAUUUCUUCACAAUUCAAGAAACUUAAGGUAUGUGGGAGUUCAUCCAUGGGUCCUCUUUCACCCAUGGAGCCCAAAACUCAAAUUUCAAGUUUAAAGUCAUAAUCUUUAUUUGUUCCCAUGAAUUUUACUUAUAAAUUUUCAUGAAUCUCAAACUUAUAUCACGUUUCCAUGAAAUUGUUGGUGAUAUUAAACCUUACAUGUUUGAAUGGUAUUGUUUGCUAAAUUUGAAUCCUAAUUGAUGAUUUUAGAGAUGAAAUCAUGCUAUUACUACUAUUUUUAACUAUUCCUAUGCUUAGCCUAAACCAUGAAUUACAAGUGUUUGAUGAAAUGCCUACAAGAAUGAUUUUGAACAAAGACUUACAUAUUAUGUCCUUAGAGUUUUAUUUCAAUUCCAUGGUAGAUCCUAUAUUCAUAAUUUUUAGCAAUAUUCCCAUGUUUUAAAUUCAUGCUUUCCACAUGUUUGAUGAAAUUCCCAUAUGAUGUUCAAUAAAUUUCAAGAUAAAUUCCCAAGUUAUGAAUUUUGUCUUAUAACUUAUUGUUUCCUCAUAUUAAGACAUUCAUAUGGUCAAGCUAAGAUCUUUACAUGUUUUGAAGAAACGCCCAUGUUCUAUUUCAAGCGAAUUUCAUGUGAUUCCCUAAUCUAUAAUUUUUAAUUGUGUCAUAAUGCUAUGCUCCCAUGUUUAAGAUAUUCCCAUGUACAAGUUCAUAAUCCCCAUGUGUCUGAGGAACUGCCCCAAGUUAAAGUAUUAAUCCCCAUGUGGUGAUGAAAUGCCCAAGUGGUGGAUUUCUUUAAAUAAUGCUUUCUUAUUAUGGUUUCGAAGCUUUAGCAUGUCCCUAUUGUUAUUUCUAUCGAGUCCUAGGGGUUAUGAUACCCAAAAUUUAGUUGUUUACUUAGUUUUCAGUAGUUAUAGAAGGGUCCCCAUCAUAUCAUGAACGGUAGUAUUCGGUCAGUUAACAUGGUCAGCACGAGUCCAGUCAAACUUAGCCCAGUUUAGUGAUCAGUGUCAGUUUAGUUGGGAGUAGGAUUCAACACCAAGCGAACCCAGGUAUGGGGCUUUCCUGCUAGCAUAGGGUUUGACCCUUAGUAGCAAUCCCUGAGUUACAGAACUACGUAGCCAUCAUAGGUUUAAUAUGUCUUCUUGCCAGCUUAGGGUUAACACAUCUCUCAUGAAUUUCCUGCCAGUAUACGGUUACUCCUUAGUCCUGCGGGACACCAGUUGCGUGGAUCCACACAAAAUGUGUUAUUACCCAUGGCACGGUACUGACACCUUCCAACUAGGGUUACAUGGACCCUAAUUAGCUUAGAUUGGGGCAUGUCAGUGUAAAAUCCCACAAAAUCCUUAGCUUAAUUCAGUCCUUUAAGCUUGUUAAGGGGGUCCCAAACUUAGAAUAUUUUAGCUAAGUAUUCAGUCUUAGUGUCAUUCUAGCCUUCGAAAGUCGGCAAUUUUAUUUCAUGGCCUUUACUUUCAUUAUUGGUGGAUAUUUAGGUUGAUUCAUGAUCAGGAAUGUUCGUAGAUAUUUUUGGAUAAGUUUUGAAUUUUUCAGACUUUGUUUGAAGCUCCUUCAAAAUCCUAAAAUAGUGGAUCAACGCGAUCUUGGAACGCAGCGUCGACUAUCGCGUUGAUAAAUAUUUUUCCCAACUUCCAGUGUCAAUUUAUAGUGAGUCAAUGCAGACUCGACGUGACGUAUUGGCUAUCGCAUCGAUGUCAAUGACGUGGUGUGUCGCUCUGCGUGUCGAUGGUGCAGUUUUUAGUCAUUAAAAGACCUCAUCCUUGGGGAUAUUUGGGUCUUUUCCCCUCAACCUUCAGCCCCCAAAACACAAAAUUUAUCACCUUAGAGAGCAAAUAAACUCAUUUUUUCCUCAAAAUUGCUUAAGAACAAAACCCUAGAAGAUUCAAUUUCAAAUCAAGAACUCAAGAUUCCACCAUCAACUUUUAGAAAUUCCUUAACCAAGGUAUGUGAAGUGUUCAUCGAAGGGUCCCUUCCACCCUUGGAGUCCAAGAAAUCUUUUUAAACUUCAAGUAUGAUUGAUUUCAUGAUUUCCAUUUUGGGUUUGAUAAUAUCCAUGUUUAAAAUAUCUAAUUGGGUUUCAAAUUCACGUUUUAUGAUAAGUUUCAUAUGUGGUUAAUUGAUUUAUACGUGUUAUUAUGUGAAAUCAUGCUGAAGCCUUCAAAUUGUGAGUUUGGUAUUUGAAAUUAUGUGCUUACAUGUUGUUAGUACUAGGUGCAUAUUUUAUACCUUUCAAGUGAUUGAUGAAUUAAGCAUGUGAGUUGAAUAGUGAAGUUAAUCAUGUUAGAAUGUGUUCAAGUACAUGACAUGCAAGUGUUUGUUAAAAUGCCCCAAUGAAUGAAGAAUGACCAAAUGCUUAGUUUACAUGUUUCAAGUUUAUGCCAUGUCUCUUAUUUUAUGCUAUCAAGUCCUGGGGGUACUUGUACCCGACAAUUCAGCUGAUUAUUUAGAGCCAUGGUCAGUCAUAGAGCAGUAACAGUUACAUCACUAUCAGUAAUACUCUCAGAAAUUUACAGAACUCAGAAAAACUCAGUAGACUCAAUAUUCUUCCAGUCUAGUUCAGUACUCAGUCUAGACCUCAGUAAACUCAAUCAGUUAACAGAAUUCAGUAGUUUUCGUCUAUCCAUGAAACUCAGUAUACUUAGUCAGUUCAAUUAAAUAUUAAUAUUAGUAAGAGUUCAGUCCAGCCUAGUUCAUACUAGGAAACCAGUUUAAUGUCUAUUCAGUUGGGAGUAGGAUUCAACACCAAGUUAACCCAGGGAUGGGGGUAUUCCUGCCAGCAGAGGAUUUGAUCCUUAGUAGCAAUCCCUGAGUUACAAAACUAUGUAGCAAGCGUAGGUUGAGAUAUCUUCCUACUAGAUAUUAUGAGGGUUAAUACUUCUUACCUGAGUUAUCCUGCUAGCGAGGGUUGACGAAAGAGCUUCCUGUCAGAGAGGGUUAACUCAUAGCUUGUCCUUACCCAAGGCACGGUAUUGGCACCCUUCCAACUGGGGUUAUAAGUUGGAUCCCAAUCAGUUUAGAGAGGAACAUGUCGGUUAGAUGAUUACCUCCCGCAGUCUCAUUUUAGUCUCAGUCUCAGAAUAGAACUCAAUUUAGUUCUACAGAUUUAGGACUAUCAGAUAUAGUCACUCAGCUCAGUACGAAAGUCAGUAUAGUUCCACAGAAUCAAGACUGUCAGAUACAGUCAUUCAGUUAUCAGUAGUUUAGUAUCAGUAUUCCUAGAUAUCAGUUAAUUAGUUUUAGUAAUCAGACUCAAUAUUUAAUGUUAUCAUGAUCUCAGUUACAGUCUACGUAUUCAUGUAUGUACUCUUAUUUAGUCAUACUCAUGUUAUUCAGUUAGUAUUAUCCAUGCAUAUGAACCCAUCUAUUUCAGCCUACCUCAGUGAGCAUACCAGUACAUUAAAAGUACUGACGUAUAUUUUUUGUGCUAUGAUGUCUUAUACUUAGGUUCCAACACACGGGCUUCAGAGCACCCUUAGCAGUUCAGAUUCUCAGCUUUUAAAUUAGUGGUGAGUCCUCAUAGUUCGAGGACAUGCUUAUUAUUUAUAGUACUUCAGUUUUAUUUCAGCACUAGAGUAUGAUCAAAUAGUUGUCCAGUAUUCAGAUUUCAGUAGUUAUGUUCAGUUUUAAUACCGUAUUCAGAUUUAUUUACAUAAUGAACCUUAUGGCAAGUUCUGCCUAUUUUUGCAUAUUAUUCAGUAUUUAUUACAUAGUCAUUGCAGAAGGUACCAAUCAUGAGUUAGCUUGUGGUCCUUCAGGAUUAUGAGCACUGUAUAGCGUCCACGAUACAGACUCAGUGUGCUACAGUCAGUUAGAUGAUACCUCUCACAGUAUCAGUACAAUAUUUAGUAUCUCCUCAGUUCAAGUUUGCUUGACUAAGUGUAUAGACUUUCAGAUAUUUAAUUUAAUAGUUUUCAAUCUUUCAGAUUACAGAUUUCUCAGUACCAUAACAAAUAUACACUUACUCUUGCAUUCUCAGAUGUUACAAUUUUUAAGUAUUCAUGCUUAGUUAUUUUAUGUUUUUUUGUUAGUCCUUAUCUCAUAAGCAUAGUACUCCACAGUUUCAGCCCAGUUAUUCAGACUAAGUACAGUUUAGUCUUACAAGACCAGUAUUCAGCUAUCAGUUAUUUAUUUAAUCAGAUAAGUUUAGUAUAUGUCAUGUUUGGUUUUGUAUGUUUACGAAUUCAUCCUCAGUAUGAUUUUAUAUUCAGGUCUUCGAGUUAUGUCAGUCUCCAUCACGUAGUUUUAGACCUAGCGUUCAUGCAGUAUCCAUGUUUUACCAUAUCUCAGCUUCAGUUUAACUUAUUCUACAAAAAUAAAGAGUUUUAAGAAACUAAGUAUAGUGAUUCACGAUCUUAUCAGAUUUUGUUUGUUACUCAUGUUUCAAGAUAUUUUCAGUUUUCAGUUUAUUUUAGUCUCUUAGUGAGUUUACUUACACCUAGUCAUGCAUGUUUUAAGAUUACGCAUGAAACUAUUUUUACUUAUUGCAUUCACCCCUGUAUAUUCAGUAUAUUCUAGAAGUACUGAUCCACAUAUACGUCUAUGUGCUACAUUGUCUCAUAAUGUAGGUGCCAGUUACAACCUAUACGUCAUGAUCAAAUAGUUGUAGUUUCCAGUCAGCAGGUGAUGAGUUCUCCUAUUUUGGGGACUUCAUUCAAAUAUUUUUAUGUACUUUAUUUUUAUCAUUCUUAUGUAUUGAUUAGUGUUAGUUGGAGGCAUGUCCCAACUAUCUAUAGUCACUAUAGUAGAGGCUUCAUAGAUUUCAGUCAGAGUUAGUCAUGUAAAUUUAGUUUUCUCCUUAGUUUUUAUCAGAUUAUAAAGUGUAUGAUUAAUAUAAAUUUCUCUCAGAUUUUGUUUAUAUUUUUGCACUGCAGAACAACUAUUUAAUUUAUUAUAAUUCAGUUGCUUAACAGUAUGCCAGUUCAUGAGUUAACUUGGGAUCACUUGUGGUUCCAAGCACUGUGUCGCAUCUAGGUGCACUAAUACCCCGCAUUUUCAUGUCCUAAACCUCUUAUUUUUAUUCUUUACGAAACAAAUCCAGCUUGAAGUAAUAGUUACUCAUAAGUUGACUUUUUUUUUUCUAUCUCAGCUUUAUGACCAUUCUCAUGUCAUUGCAUGUAUUCAUGAAAUCAGUUCAGUUCUUGUAUUAUGCUCAGACUCAAUUAUACAAUCAUGUUCUAAGUCAUACAUUCAAAAUAUGAUCUUAAUUACCUUGGUACAGUACUCUCAGUCUAACCAGACUUAUUCGAUGAUGAAUGUUCCCAAGGGGGAGAUAAUGUAACACCCCGUAUUUUCGGACUAGUCUUUGUACCAUCGUUCUUAUGUGUAUAAGUUAUAAUCCAAAUGAUUCCCAUGUGAAUAUAAGUUUUAUGAUUUUUUUUCUCGUGUUUGAUGUAAUUUCGAGGUAAAAAAUGUACAUAGCCAUGACUUAGAACAAAGUUGAGCUAAGAUCAUUUGAUAUGUCCAAAAUUUGGUAUUCGAUUCUACAAGAGUCUACUUUAAAUUUAUAUAACUUUUGAUAUACCUGGAAUUUUUCAUGUAAAGACCCACCAAAUUGUAGAUAAUUCAAUCAGAUUUCCAAAGAUACCAAUUUCACCUAAAUUCGAUACUCGAGCAAAAAGUUACAGCCAUUUUUGUGUGAGACAGUAAGACGAGGCGAUAUGCCCAUGCCACUCGGGUUGCAGCGCCGCUCUAGAUGUGGCGCCGCGGGAUAUACUCCCCCGGGAUAAAGGGGGUGGCACCUUUUCCAUUCCUCAUCUAUUUUAAACUCCUUAAGGGUCAAGGGGCACUUUGGUCCUUUCCACUCAACCCCAAACGUCCAAUGGACGAUUUAUAACACCCCAAAGGGCAUUAUUUGUCCACUUAUCAUCAUCAAAACUCACGUAAACCUUCCCUUUUUCUUACAAUGAACAAAGUUCAACUUUUAUCUCAAGAGCAUAAGUAUUUAAGUUUAGAAUUCAAUAUUUCUUCAAGAAUCCAAGAGUUAAAGCUUCCUAGUCAAUAAACCUUCAAGAAUAAUCAAGAAUAGAGUUUUUUUCACAAGUUCAUCAUUCAAGUUCCACGAUUCAAGAUUUCUUCACAACUCAAAAAAAUUAAGGUAUGUGGGAUUUCAUCCAUGGAUCCUCUUUUACCCAUGGUGCCCAAACCCCAAAUUUCAAGUUUAAAGUCAUAAUAUUUACAUGUUCCCAUGAAUUUUACUUAUAAAUUUUCAUGAAUCUCAAACUUAUAUCAUAUUUCCAUGAAAUUGUUGGUGAUAUUAAACCUUAUAUGUUUGAAUAGUAUUGUUUUGCUAAAUUUAAACCCUAAUUGAUGAUUUUAGAGGCGAAAUGAUGCUAUUACUACUACUAUUUUUAACUAUUCCCAUGCUUAGCCUUAGGGAUGGAAAACAGGCGGAUUGGAUUGAAUUUGGACGGGUUAAAUAUGGAUCGAGCAAAAAUGGUUUGGAUUGCAAUCCGCCCAUAUAAAUAAGGGUAAAUAUGGAUUGGGUAAAAAUGGUUUCAACCCAUUUUAACUCCUAAGUCAAAAACUUAAAACUUCUAUAUCAUAUCAACUUUACUUUUGUUUCAUUUUUUUUUUAGUUUUUUUUGUCUCUCUUCUAUAUGUAGCCUCAAGUUUUUUCUUUUUUUCUUUUUUCAUUUUUUUGUCAUUUCAUUUUUUCUCUCUCUCUUCUAUCUCUACCCUCUGCCCUUUGUUUCUCUUUCUUUUUUCCUUUUUUUUUCCUUUUUCUUUUUAGUCUCCUUUUUUUCUAUUUUUUAUUUUUUUGUUUUUACAUCUUUCUCAUUUUUUUCUUUUUUGGUUGUAUUUUAUGUUUUAUAUUUUUUUUAUUUCCGAAGAACAUGGUUAAGUUGAGUACAAAUUAUGGAUGAUAACUAAAUUAUCGUAACCACUCAAUAUAUUUGUUUUCACCAUCAUCUUUUUUCUUUUUUCCUUUUCUCCUUUUUCAUAAAAAUAGCAUAAGCGUAUAUUGAUUUAUAUUCUCCCAACAUUUAUAAUUCGAGGGCUAUGUGGAUCCUCAGUCAUAUAUAUUUUAGUCUGAAGAAAAUACAAUUAAUUCAUAUACUAUUUUUUUGAUUUUUCGUCUGGUGUUCGGUGCCUACAUUGGAGCCCCAGCUAAUCUGGAUCGGGCGUUGUAGGGCCCAUUAAGGUGGCAGCGCUCCCAACAGAGUUUUCUCCAUAACCAUGGUCGUACCCUCGACCUCUGGUUAAGGGUGGAGCAGCCCCAUCCACUGCACCACAACCCAUAUUGAUUUUAAUUCAUAUACUUAUUUGUAUAUAAAUACAAAUGAUAAAUUGAACAUAUUGACAAUUAAACUAUUCAAAUACAAAAAAUAAAUUUAUUUGAAAUAUAUAGUAUGAUACAAAUAAAUUUAAAGUAAAAAAUUAUAAAGUGCAAUGACAAAAAAAGAUGAGAAAAAGAAUAUAAAAAAUAAGAAAAAUGACAAAAAUGACGAACCAAGAAUGAAAAAGGGGGAAACGGAAAUACAAAAAAAAAGAAUGCAAAGAAAUAAAAUUGAAAAAGAAAAAAAUAAUAAAAAAGAAGAAAGGGAAAAAAGGGUAAGAAAUGAGUAAAAAAUAAGUGGAAAAAAUGAAAAAUAAAAAAAAGUAAAUUAAAGGAAAAAAGAAAGAAAAAAAUAGUAAAUUAAAGGGAAAAAAAAGGAAAAGUAAAAAAAAUUAAAAAAAGAAAGAGAAAUAAAAGAUAAAAAAAAAUUAUAAUAAAGGAGUGAGACUAUGAAUUAUAUUUAAUUGAUAAGAGAUGUUAUGAAUUAUAUAGGUUAGAUGGGAUAAUUAUAAGCUUAUAUUUAUUAACCCAUGUUGGUCUCAAGCAAAUACGAAUGAUGAAAUAAGAAUGAGAAAGUGGAGAGUAAAAAAAAAGAAUACAAAGAAAAAAGAAAUAAAAAUAAAAAAAUAAAAAAAUAGAUGAAAAAAUGAGAAAGAAAAAAGAAAUUAUAAGGAAUGAGUAAAAAAAUAAAAAAAAAUGAAAAAGAAAAAAAGUAAAUUAAAGGAAAAAAGAAAGAAAAAAAGAGACUAGAAAAAAAAAAACUGAAACUUUAAGCAUAGGUGGGCGAUCUCUGUGUUUAAAUGGGUACCCACAUUUUACCCAUUUUGUCCAUAUUUGUAUGAGUUUUUAAAAUGAGUUGAAGUCCAUAUUUACCCAUUUGAAAUAUGAGUGAUCCAAUUCACUAAAUAUGGGUUAAAUGGAUUUUUUUUUUACAAAUAUGGACUGAAAUUGCCACCCCUACUUAGCCUAAACCAUGAAUUACAAGUGUUUGAUAAAAUGCCUACAAAAAUGAGUUUUGAACAAAGGCUUACAUAUCAUGUCCUUAGAGUUUUAUUUCAAUUUCAUUGUAGAAAAUAUAUUCACGAUUUUUAGCAAUAUUCCCAUAUUUUAAAUUCAUGCUUUCCACAUGUUUGAUGAAAUUCCCAUAUCAUGUUCAAUAAAUUUCAAGAUGAAUCCCCAAGUUAUAAAUUUUGUCUUGUAACUCUAUUGUUUACUCAUGUUAAGACAUUCUUAUGGCCAAGCUAAGAUCUUUACAUGUUUUGAAGAAACACCCAUGUCCUAUUUCAAGCGAAUUUCAUGUAAAUUCCCUAAUCUAUGAUUUUUAGUUGUGUCAUCAUGUUAUGCUCCCAUGUUUAAGAUAUUCCCAUGUUCAAGUUCUUGAUCCCCAUGUUUUUGAGGAAUUUCCCCAAGUUAAAGUAUUAAUCCCCAUGUGGUGAUGAAAUACUCAAGUGGCGGAUUUCUGUAAAUAAUGCUUUCUUAUUAUGGUUCCGAAACUUUAGUAUGUCCCUAUUGUUACUGCUAUCGUGUCCUGGGGGUUAUGAUACCCGAAAUUUAGCUGUUUACAUAGUUUUUAGUAGUUAUAGAAGGGUCCCCAUCGUAUCAUGAGCGGUAUUAUUCUAUCAGUUAACAUGGUUAGCACGAGUUCAGUCAAGCUUAGCCCAGUUUAGUGAUCAUUGUCCGUUUAGUUAGGAGUAGGAUUUAGCACCAAGCGAACCCAGGUAUGGGGCAUUCCUACCAGCAUAGGGUUUGACCCUUAGUAGCAAUCCCUGAGUUAUAGAAUUACGUAGCCAUCGUAUGAUUGAGAUGUCUUCCUGCCAGCUUAGGGUUAAUACAUCUAUCAUGAGUUUCCUGCCAGCAUAGGGUUACUCCUUAGUCUUUCAGGACACUAGUUUAGUGGAUCCACACAAUCGGUGUUAGUACUCGUAGCACGGUACUGAUACCCUUCCAAUUGGGGUUACAGGUUGGACCUCAAUUAGCUGAGAUUGGGGAAUGUUGGUUAGAUGAUACCUCCCACAGUAUCAGUACAGUAUUCAGUGUCUCCUUCAUUUAGGUUUGCUUGACUAAGUGUACAGACUUUCAGAUAUUUAGUUUAAGAGUUUUCAAUCUUUUAGAUUACAGAUUUUCUCAGUACCAUAAUAGAUAUACACUUAGUCUUGCAUUCUCAGAUGUUAUAGUUUUCACGCAUUCAUAUCAAUUAUUUCAUGUUGUUUUGGUAGUCCUUAACUCAUAAGCAUAGUACACCAUAGUUUCAGCCCAGUUAUUCGGACUCAGUACAAUUUAGUCUUACAAGACCUGUAUUUAGCUAUCAGUCAUUAAGUUAAUCAGAUAAGUUUAGUAUAUGUUGUGUUUGGUUUUGUAUGUUUAUGUAUUCGUGCUCAGUAUGAUUGUAUAUUCAGGUCUUCGAGUUAUGUUAGUCUCCAUUACGUAGUUUCAGACCCAGUGUUCAAACAGUAUCCAUGUUUUACCAUAUCCCAGCUUCAGUUCAACUUAUUCUACAAAAGUAAAGAAUUUUAAGAACCUAAGUGUAGUGAUUCACCAUUUUAUCAAAUUAUGUUUGUUGCUUAUGUUUUAAGAUGUUUUCAACUUUCAGUUUAUUUCAGUCUCUUGGUGAGUAUACUUAUACCUAAUCAUGUAUGUUUUAAGAUUAUGUAUAAAAUUAGUUUUACUUAUUGCAUUCACCCAUGCAUACUCAGUAUAUUUCAGAAGUAAUGAGCCAUAUAUACGUCUAUGUGCUACAUUGUCUCAUAAUGUAGGUAACAGUUACAUCCUACACAUCAUGAUCAGACAAUUGCCGUUUCCAGUCAGUAGGUGAUGAGUUCUCCUAUUUCGGGGACUCUAGUUAGAUAUUGUUAUGUACUUUAUGUUUAUCAUUCUUUUGUAUUGAUUAGUGGUAGUGGGAGCCAUGUCCCAACUAUCUAUAGUCAGUAUAGUAGAGGCUUCAUAGAUUUCAUUCAGAGUCAGUCAUGUAAUUUCAGUUUUCUCCUCAGUUUUUAUCAGAUUGUAAAGUGUAUCAGUAAUAUAAAUUUCUCUCAAAUUUUGUCAUGAUUAUAUUUUCACACUGCAAACAACUAUUUAUUUCAUUAUAAUUCAGUUUCUUAACAGUAUGCCAGUUCAUGGGUUAACUUCAACACAUAUUUUACAUUUAUCAAAAUUACUUGAGUCUAAACCAGAUAUUAAACCAAGUGAUUGCAUAUUGUUUAUAUAUUUAAUAAUAACAUGUCCUAAUCUAGCAUGCUAUAAAGAAAUAGACUCAAUCAUAUAAGUAGAAGAUGGUGAAUUUUCAUUUAUAAUAUUAAGUACAUCAAGUCCAUGGUUACAAUAGCCUUUUCCCACAAAUAUAUUAUUUUUUGUCAAAAUAAUCUUAUUAGAUUCAACAGACACUUUUAUUCCAGCUUUAUCCAGCAUCAGUAUUAUCAACGACCUUAGGUCCAAUAUUAUGUGCCAUAGUUUCUUAGAUUGUUGGGAAAAAAUAAUAAAAUAAUAAUAAUAUUAUUUAACUGUUAACAAAAUAUUAUAAUAAUAAUAUUAGCAAUACAAUAACAUAAUUGUGUUUAACAAUAUUACUGCUUUAGUGAUAAUACUGUAAUCAAUAUGACAACUAUGACAGUAAUCUAACUACUUCUUAACAUGUUAAUAAUAUAUUAAUUAUACUUGAGUCGUGUUAGGCACUGUCCUAAGAAACUAUUUCAGCAGUGUGAAAUGUUUCCCCAGGAUUAAACAAGCACUUCCCUGAUCAAUUAGAGGAUAUUCUAAGUUAAAUAAAUCUUUCUUAACUAAUCAGAGGAUACAUAAAUCAACAAAAUUAUUAAUACAAAUAUCAGCAAGUUAAAUCAUAGGUUGAAAUAAUAACCAAAAUCACUAAGUAGGAUUCUAAGAAGAAAGAGAAAACUAAAGAGGAAGUUUAGAAUGUUAAGGAUUUCUGUAAGGAUUAAGGGAGUAUUUAUAGGUAAGACUUAGCUUCUAAAGUACACCUCUCGAUGGCUUCCAAAGUAAGUCUUCUCAAGUAUAUCUCUUAUUGGCUUCCAAAGUAAGACUUCUCAAGUAUAUCUCCAGAUAGCUUCCAAAGUAAGCCUUCUCAAGUAUAUCUUUUAAUGGCUUCCAAAGUAACCCUUUAAGUGGCUUCUAAAAUACAUUUAAAAACAUGACUUUUUCCAAUACACUUCAAUGUAAAUUAUUUUGAAAUAACUAAAUAAUUUUUCUACAAUAAAUUCAAGAGAUACACGAAGCAAUGAAAAGGAAAAUCAAAGUGCCCAAUAAUUUCAGAAGAGAGUCAAAGUUAAUAGCCAUCCAACAUAAUUUGUGGGGAAUUAAAUGCAUACCUUAUAGUAUAAGGAGGGCCUUAAGGAAUAUUCCUAGUAAAUUCCUCUAGUGAUUGAUGCAUUAUUGAAUUUAAGCCAACUGUAUUAAGACUAGCUACUUACUUAGCUACAAGUUUUAUAGCCUGACCAAAUUUAUUUUUCUCUAGUAGUGCUUAUCUUGUUUGAAAAGUACUUAUUUUAAAUAGUUGAGGUGUUUGGUCAACCUUAUAGAAGAAAAAAAUUCUUUUAAAAAGUUAAAAAAAAUAAUUUUCCAUAACCUAAAACAGUAGCUUUUUCUAAAAACACUUUUUAGAAAAAUGCAUUGCUUCAUAAGGAAGAAUGAAGUGCUACCGGAGAUUCUUGCUUUGACAAUGGGUCUAGGCAAAAACAAGGUACUUCUAAAUUAACAAUAUAGUUCUUCAAGGGAUUCACAAAUAAGAAACUAUCAUCCUCAUUUUCUUUUUUAUAAAGGCAAAACAACAACAAGAUUAUUAUUAUUUAAAAAAUGGAGAUGCUGUGCUAGAGGAGCUUCUUGUAUUAUGCAAUAAAAAUUGUCGAAUUCCCAUCCAUUACUUCAUUUCCAUAGAGAUAGAAAGGGAAAUCAAGCACUCUGAAAAUAAAAUAGAACUCGACAAAGGCUAUAUGUGAAGAAAUUGGGGUAGGUUGCUCCUCGACUCAGGAAACUGUUCCCAAAAUCACACAUGCAACAAGAACUAGGAGAUAAGCAAAUUAACAAGUAGCAGAGUGAAGAAACUUAAAGACACAGGAUUUAUUACGUGGAAACUCCUUGCUCAGGGGAGAAAAGCCAUGACCUGCCUCCAGGAUUUAAACUCCACUAGAUUCAAGCAACCUCUUGAAUACAGACUCUAAGGAUUAACCUUCUAAUCCUUUGUUUCCUAGCAAUAACACUAUUACAAGAAAAUCUACACAAUAACUCUACUGCCUGCACCUUCAGCUAACUCUAACUUGACUUUACAAGCUAAAUUAAAAUGCCCCAAAAUUUAUCCCUCGAAAUUUCCUCGAGCGUUGAGCUCACUAUCUAAUUGAUGACUCACCAAAUAAGUCGUAUGGUGUAGUUACGGAUCUAGGGAUCCAAGUCGUAACCAAACUAAUGUGUUAGUUGCAAAGUUUUAUUUGGGUUAUGAGAGACUCCUCACGAGUUAUAUGAUCAUGUUACGAGUGGUUAGGGUCCAGUCGUAUGUUGUUCAAUGUCCAAGCCCUUGGUGUUAAGUAUUGAUCAUGACUAGACCAUACGAUUCAUAUAGUCUAGUGACAAGUGGGACUAGGAUGUCAUAAGUUGGAUAGUAUGUAGUGUCCAAUUCUCUGUCUUGGUGAUGACUCUACGAUAAGAGUGGUAUGUUGUGGUGACGAGUUGAAGGCUUCACUCAUAAUCCAAGGACAAAAUUCUACAACUUUAAGCUGGGGGUACUUUGGACAUUUUUCACUCCAAUCCCUUGAGACCCCACAUUAUUAUAACACUUUUGGGGCAUUCAUUAUAUACUUUACAAGAUCAAACAUUCUCUAAAUUCUCUCUAAAACCUCUCAAUCAAGAUUGGGCUAGGUUUUUUCUUAAAAGUGAUCAUCUAAGGGACUUAGGAUCAAAUUUUCUUCAUGAAUCUUUAUAACUCAGGCAUGUAACUCUUUAUUCAUUGUUAGUUCACUAAAAAUCAUAUGUUGAAACAUUAUUCAUGAGUCAUUAAUGGUGGUUUCAAAAAUCAAGGUUGAGGGUUUGAAUGAAUGUUGUUGGGUAUUGCUCCUCAUCAUUCAAUUUAUAAUUAUGCAUGUUUUAAUAAUGUUAUUGCACAUCUGGGUGCAUGGUAAUUGUGGUUUAACUAAGGGCUCAUGUUUAACCCUAAAUUUGUUAGUUUUUGGUUUUGAUAAUGGUAUACCCUCAACCUGUUUGUGAAAUUGUCAAUGAGAAUGAUAUUGCCACAUGUUGAAUUGUGUUUGAACUAAGGCAUUGGCCUAAGAUUAUUAAUGAUUGGUCAAUGGUUUUAUGAAGGCUUUGUUGGCCAUAAUUUAUUUGAAAUGCUAAAUGGGUUUGAGUCCCUAAAAGUUGAAAUGAAUUGACGUCUUUUAGAUAAUGGGUUUGAGUCCCAAGAUGAUUAAUAAUGGUAAUGGAAUGUUGUGCGCUUGCAAGUGGGGUUGGUAUGACGAUUCCAACGAGAUGUCUUUGGUAAAUAAAUCAAUUAAUAAUUGUGUAUGUGUGAUGAAUAUUUUAAUUGUGUGAUGAAUAUUUUAAUUGGCUUUUAAAGUGGGAUGUGUAGUCGGGCCCUGAAAGUGUAGUAAAAAGGAAUAACACUGGAAACUACAUGGCAUAACCCGAGCUGAGGCCCUAGCCACGAUGGGUAUCCCAAACCACAACGACUGUAAUACCCUAAAUUUUCUUCCUAGCUAAUUUCGUCCCAAGAAUUCCUAGAAUUAGAUUCUAAAGUGAAUGAUGAUUAUUCCAUGAGUAAUUUUCAAGAUUUUCACCUUUUAUUAUAUGGAAAAUUCAAUAAGCUUUCCAUCGAUACAAAAUUUGCCCAAAUCCGACACCCGGGCAAAGAGUUAGAGCCUUUUUAAUGAGACAGUAUAUCAUCUGAGCCUCCAGCACGUCGCGGAGAUAGCUCAAGUGGCAAUUGUCAAUUUUCAGUGUUGCUCCGUGAUAGUGGCGCAUCGCGCCAAACUUUUAAGUCGUAGACAAGGUGGUAGCGUGAUAGCUUCGCGUCGCGCCACCGUGCAAUUUCCCUUUUAUCUCUUUCCAGUGACUUAGCGCGAUAGUGGUGCAUCGCACCAAGGAUGAAAAUUUGGACAAUUUUCUUAAAAAUUAAAGACGUGUCCUAGGGUUAAAAGGGUCAAUUUUCCCACUCUAUAUAAGCCUUAUAAUAUGAGAUUUGACCAUAAUUCAACAACUUAUACUCAAUUACUCUCAGAAACUCUCAAGAACAAACCCUAGGGUUUUUAUAGAAGGUUCAAUUCCAAGGGAAUUCACUGUCAAAUUUCAAGAAUCUCUCCAUCAAUCUUCAUGAAAUCACAAACUAAGAUAUGUGUAGUGUUUAUCCACGGAUCCCUUUCAUUCGUGGAGUCCAAGAAUCAUGUUUUAAAUAACCUAUCGUGAUUUGCUUGUUGUAAUUUUAUCAUGUUCAUGUUGAUAGUUGUUAUUUAUGUUUCAAGAUGAUGUCUUGAUGACUUUCCAUGAAGUAUGUGAGUUUGUUGAUUGAAAACCUAUGAGUUUGGGUAGUCUUAGAUUCUUAAAUUGAUAAUUUCGCCAUGCUAUAAAGUGUGCAUGUAAGGUGUUUGAUAAAAUGCCUAUAAUAAUAGAAUCAUGUUCCUUAUGACUCAAUAGUAUCUAAAUGACAAGUCCAUGCUAACCCUUAUGAUGCAACACAAUUUCCAUGCUCUUGUUGUGUAUUGACUGUUGUGUUAUGCAACGUUUAUGAUAUUUAAAUCAUGCAAGUAAGUACAUGUUAUAUGCAUUCCCUUCCAUGAUAAAGACUAUGAUAACCAUGUGAAGCAUGAAAUCGCUUAUUUAUGGCAUUAUAAAUUAUUAACGCUAUUCCUAUGAUCAAGAAGUAUUAUGGAUUAUUGAUGUUAGUCAUGUAUUCAAGAAUGUCAUGCCUUGUUAGUUUUCUUCUAUAGAGUCCUGGGGGUACUCGUACCCAAAAAAUAUGUCAUGUUUUCAUGAUACUCUUAGUCAAGCCAUGUUCCAUAGAAGUCAGUCAGUCAUGUGACUCAGGAAAUCCUAGAAAUCUCAUGAACUCAGUACUCAGUAAAAUCAGUAUUCUUAUGAACUCAGUACUCAGUAAGAUCAAUAAUCUCAUAAACUCAGUCAGUUAUCAGAUAUCAAUAGUAUUUUGCCAGUCAACGGAAUUAAGUAAACUCAGUCCAUGUACAGUCAGUCAAUUGUGUUCAGUCUCUUCAGAUGGGAGUAGAAAUUAGCACCGAGUGAAUCCAAGGAUGGGAACACACACUCUCAGAUGAGGGUGUGAUUCUUAGUAGUCAUCGUUAUGUUCCAAAACUAUGUAGCCAGCAUAGAUUGAUACAUCAACACUGUCAGAUGAGGGUUGAUGAGGUAGAUAAGCACUGUCAGAUGAGGUCCCUACUAUUCUCUUUUGGGGACACUGUCAUAUGAGUUACUAGUGGUACGGUAUUGACACCCUUCCUGUCAGGGCAUAGAUUAGACCCCAGCUUAGCUAUUAUAGCGUAUUUGGGGCAUAUCAGUUAAAUAACUAUUCCCAUAGUUUCAGUAUCAGUCUUAAUAAAAGAACUCAGAUAGUUUUUCAAAUUUCAAGAAUGUCAGAUAUAGUCAACUCAAUCACAGUACAAAACUCAGAUAGUUUCCAUCAGAUUUAGGACUGUCAGACAAAGUCACUCAUGUUGUUAGUUAUAUCAGUUAUUAGAACUCCAGUAUCAGUCAUGCUAGGUAUCAGUAAAUUUAUGUCAUCAGUAUAUACAUUUAGUUGUCAUGUUCUCAUGAUCUCAGUUACUAUGUAAUAAUGUGUGCACCCUCACGUUCAUAUUAUUUAGUUAGUUUUUAUCAUUCAUGCAUGUAAACCCUAUGUAUUCAGCCUACCUCACACGUAUACUGAGUAUAUUCUUUUAUACUAAUGCAUUUGUGCUAUGGUGUUUUCUUUUUAUGUUACACCAUAGGUUUAGAGAUACGAGUUCCAGAUUAGUAGUAGAUUCCAGUCUCAACAGUCAGAAUAGUAGUGAGUUUUCAUCCUUCGAGGACAUGGUUAUUUCUUCAUUAUUUCAUUGAUUAGUUAUUAGUUGUAGUUAGUUGGGGACAUAUCCCAUCAAAUCUUGAUUUAGAUUAUUCAGACAGUAGAGGCUUUCUGACUAGAUGCAGACUAUUGUGUCAGUGUUUAUAGUUUUGUUUUGGGUAUUCUAUUACCCCACCCAGAUGUUCUAUCAUUUAGAUUAUGUUUAGUAUUGAACCUUAUGGCCUUUCAGUGGAUGUUUCCGCAUUAUUAUAUCAUAUUAUAUAGUGUACAGGUACAAAUAUCAGUCAUGGGUUAGCUUGUGGUCUUUCAGGUUCAUGAGCACCGUGUGACAUUCUGGUUCAGCAAAUCAGGGUGUUUUAAUGGCCUGAGAGACCCCUCUAAAUCCCUAAACCACUAGUGAUAUUGUUCGCUUUGGGCCCAAGCCUGUACAACUUUAAAAUGCGUCACUAGGUAUUAAGACUUUCUUACUUAUGCACCCAACAUCUCUUCUAUAUUUUGCUGAUGUAGGACUCCUUCCUAAGUUGGGGUGUUACACUGUGCUAGCCGGUGCAGGUGUCUAUAUGACUAGGAGGUUGGAUUUACCAAUAUAAAUAUAUUAAUGGGAGGUUCGAGUCCCCCAUAUUGUAUACAUUGGUGCUUAAGUAACCAUGAUUAUGUCAGGAGGUUUGAAUCUCCCCAUAAAGAAAUUUACAAAUAUGGAUAAUCUCUAGUUCGUGCGGCUGCAUGCAUUAUGGCCCUUCCAGCUAAAGAAGAGUUGGGCCCAUAUAUCCCGUGGGUGUUUUUUUUAGACAGUUAAGCUACAUAGCCCAGGUUAAGGUUUUCACAAUUCAUGCUAAAACUUGUUCCCUACCCUAGUAUGUGGUAUUAUGCAAACGUAUCUAUAUUUCAUACAAUAUUAUACAUUGAACGUGGUACUGUGAUCAUGACAUUAUUUUAUUCCUCUAUUCCUAAGUUACAUUCUAGCGCUCCAAUCGUUAAUUGUCUCUAGAUGCUGUAUCCCCACGCGAUGCAGGCACUGGGACUUUUUCUAUUUUUCCUACACAGUGACCAGGUGUUCGAGUUAGUUUGUGAGUUGAUAUUGAAGUGGUGAGAUUCUAUACUUCGAAAGGCUUUAUUUAAUGGUCCUUAUUUCCUAUGUCUUAGACCUUGUUUAGACUUUAUUUUUCUACUGUCGGAGGCAUGUCUUGAUAUUUUAUUGAUUUUGAUUUUGUAGAGGCUAUGUUGGAUUACUUUGGACUUGGGUUGUUUAGUUGAUUAUUUUGGUGAUAGAUGGUUGUCCGGUUACCGAUGUUUGGUAUAGACAUAUUAUGAACUAUCAUUAGUUUUGUUGUGUGCUAUCUUGUUAUAUGUUUGAAAUUAUCCAAUCCUUGAGGUUUGUGUUGGUACAAUUAGGUAAAGGGGGUGGUCUCAAUCCUAUGUGGGGCUUGAGAUACCCAUCACGGCCAGACCCUGGUUUGGGUUAUGACAAAGGUGGUAUCAGAGGCUAAGUUCAUGGUCAAUUGGGUGUCCACAAAAUCGUGUCAAGUAGAGUCUCUUUUAUGGGCGUCUAGCGUACCAUACUUAUAAGAGAGAGGCUACGAUACAUUUAGCAAUACUUUCCUUUGUUGUUAUUCUAUUUUAAGCUGUAGAGUCUAAGGUUUUGAGUCUCUCUAAUCCCUCUUUGUUUGAUUUUCAGAUCUUUUCUUCUCAAUGAUCUGAAGCUUAUGGAAACUCCCUAUUUUGCUCGAGGACAAUGAUGAUGGGACACACCCUACUUAUAUGGUACAAACUCGGUCUAGGGGUCCAGUUCUUAAUUGCCCUUUUGGGUUCCACCAGUUAUCUCUAGCCCUAUUUGAGUUCCUUAAGCUGAUGAAAAGAACACUGAGUUUUGUCAAUCUAUUCAUAUGUUGGCUCGGUUGGUAGCUUCUUAGUAUGAGUGUAGUACUCCAUCUUUUAAGGCCACAAGGGUUGGCCAAUUUAUGAGGUUGAGUCUUCUAAAUUUUACUGGUGUUGAGUUUGAGGAGUGUCCUCAAGCUUUUAUUAAUGAGAUGGAGAAGAUCCUCUGGAUUAUACAUGAUUCAGAUAUUAAAGGUGUAGAGUUUGCUUCCUAUCAACUGAAGGAUAUAGAAAACCAAUGGUAUGAGGAGUAGGAGCACUCUAGGGGAGAUGAUGCUGACUUUGAUCCGUGGGAUGAUUUCUUUAGUGUAUUUUUGGGCUGCUUGUUUUAUCAGGAGUUGAGGGAGGCAAAAGUAGAGGAAUUUGUGAAUUUGUGGUAAUGUAGGAUGUCAUUCAAGAAGUCUACCUUGAAAUUCCAUUAGUUGUCCUGGUAUGAUCCUGAGUUGGUGUGUAGCAUGAGAGCUAGAAUGUGUAAGUUUGCUUUUUGGUUGUCUCAUAAUUUGAUUCUGGAGAGUAAAGCUGCCUUGUUAAACAAGGAUAUAGAUAUUUCUUGAUUUGUGGUGUAUAUGUAGUAGGUUGACAAAUAAAAGAAGAAACAAACUGAGAUUGGUAAGACGUGAAGUAAGAAAUUUAGAUUUUUUGAUCAGGGUGGAGGCCAGCAAUAGAGUGGUGGAGAUGGAGGAAAAUGGCCUAAAAAGAAGUGGGGGAUCUCUACGGUUAGUACUCUUUACCCGAAGCCAUCUGGUGGUUGUUUUUCUUAGCAUGAUGUAGGGUACAGGUUAUAAGAUACCCAAUCUUAGGCUAGUGUAUCUCAUUCCACUCUAUCGUAUCUUUCUUACAGAUUUUAUGGUCAGCUAUACCGUAUCCAAUGUAAGAAAAAGAGAAAACACUGUUUUAAUUGUGGUCAGAUUGUCCAUAUACAACAUGAUUUUCCUUCUAGGUUUUCUUUUGGGGCCAAUCAGGUUCUUAUUUCCUAUUUAUCAGCUCUUGCACCAAAAGGUGCUGCUUCUGCUUCUGGUAUCGGCACAGGCCGAAAUUACUUAUAUGCUCUUGCUUCUCGUCAAUACUCUAAGGUAGAUCCCAAUGUCGCUACUGGUAUAUUGAAACUGUUUUCCCGUUAUGUGUACUAUUUACUCUAUCCAGGGUUCACUCUCUCUUAUGUGAUCCCAUUUGUAGAUGUGCAUUUUUGAUUUUGGUCCUAAGUACAUUUUUGAUCCUUUUUCUAUGUCUACCCCAGUGGGUAACUCUGUGGUUGUCAAAAGAGUCUAUAGGGAUUGUGUGGUAUCUGUUGGUAAUAAAGAGACUCUGCUAGACUUGAUAGAGUUAGACAUAGUUAACUUUGAUGUUAUUUUGGGAAUGGACUGGUUGCAUUCAUGAUAUGCUUCUUUAUACUGUCGGACCCAUAAGGUUAUUUUUAAAUUUCUAAUGGUCAAUUAUUGAGUAGGAGGGUGGUUUCCUAGCUCCUAAGGGGAGGUUUAGUUCAUAUCUUAGAUUUCAAAAAUUAAUUUCCAAGAGGUGUCUCUAUCAUUUGGUCUAGGUUAAAGAUUCUAACUCGGAAGGUCCUUCAUUGAGAUCCGUUCCAGUGGUUAGUGAAUUUCUAGAGGUUUUUCCUGAUGAUCUUCCUGGUGUCCCUUAUGAUAGGCAGGUUCAUUUUGGUAUUGAUUUUGUUUUGAAUUCUUGUCCUAUCUCUAUUCCCCAAUAUAGGAUGGCUCUAAUUGAGUUAAAAGAACUCAAGGAGCAGUUAAAAGACCUCUUAGACAGGGGCUUCAUUCAUCCUAGUGUGUCCCCAUGGGGUUUACCUGUCUUGUUCACAUGUAAAAAGGAUAGUUUCUUUUGUAUGUACAUUCAUAACUGAUAGUUGAACAAGGUGACGGUAAAGAACAAGUAUCCACUUCCAAGAAUUGAUGAUCUCUUUGAUCAUCUUCAGGGUACCAAAUUCUUCGCUAAGAUCAAUCUUCGGUUCGGCUAUCAUCAGUUAAAGAUUAGGAAAGUGGAUAUCUCUAAGAAGACUUUUUGUACCUGGUAUGGGCAUUUUGAGUUCGGUCUUAUCUUUUGGUUUGGCUAAUGCCUUGGCGGCAUUUAUGGACUUGUUGAAUAGGGUCUUCUUCCAGUUUUUUGAUUUGUUCAUGACUAUCUUUAUUGAUGACAUUUUUGUAUACUUUAAGAGUAAGUAGGAUCAUGUCGAUCACCUCUGCAUUGUAUUGCAUAAGAAAGAUUAACAAUUAGAUGGUAAGUUUUUAAAGAGCGAAUUUUGGUUGAACGCUUUUAUAUUUCUGGGUCAUGUUGUGUCUAGUGAGGGGAUCAUGGUGGAUCCUCAGAAGGUUGCAGUGGUUAAGAAGUGGCCUAGACCCACGACUCCAAUCAAUAUUCAAAGCUUCUUGGGUUUAGCCAGUUAUUAGAGCCGUGUGAGAUGAAAGUCUCAUGCACGGUUUUGAAUGAGAGAAAGAAGAUUCCUCACUUCUUUUCGACUCUGACUCCCCCACUCCAGUCGUUGCUUUUCUUUCUGUUACUUCGAAAGUAGCUGCUUCAGCUUCAGCCACUCGAAUUUUCGAUAUUCCUUUUUAUUUCUCAUCAAACGAAUGGCAUAGGAGAUUUGUGGAAAGUUUCUCUUCUAUUGCUGCCACAUUGACUAAGUUGACUCAGAAGAAGGCAAAGUUCUGAUGGUUUGAUGCUUGCGAGGGUAUUUUGGAGAAGAUGAAAGAUAAGUAGACUUUAGCUCCAGUCUUUACUCUGCUUGAAGGCACGGAGGGUUUUACCAUCUAUUGUGAUGCGUCUCGGGUUGAUUUGGUUGUUUUUGGAUGCAUCAUUACAAGGUUGUUUCUUAUGCCUUUAGAUAAUUGAAGCUUUAUGAGAAAAACUAUCUGACUUAUGACUUAGAGUUGUUGGCCAUGGUGUUUGUGUUGAAAAUUUGGCAUCACUAUCUAUAUAGGGUCAACGUUGAUAUAUUCUCUGAUCAUAAGAGUCUGUAAUAUGUGUUCAUGUAGAAAGAGCUUAAUCUCAGGAGAAGGGAGGUGGCUUGAGUUACUAAAGGACUAUGAUGUGAGUCUUCACUACCACCUAAGUAAAGCUAAUGUGGUUGCUGAUGCUCUUAGCAGGUUGUCCAUGGGUAGCUUAUCGCAUGUGGAUAAGGAUAAGCAGAAAUUGGAGAAGGAUAUUCACUGUUUGGCUAAUCCUUGUAGUAGAAAUAAUAGCACAAAACAAACUUUUAAUGCAAACUUAGAUUAGCAAAAAAACCAUUCAAGUAUAGUGACAGUAAAACAACUAAUACAUAUGCCAAAGUCAUCACAGGAGAAACAACAAUAGGAGCUAAGGGAGAAGGAGUGAGGAUCAAAGAAAAAACAUUCUGGGAAGAAACUUUUGAACAUUGACUAAGAAACAUUGUCAUCCUUUUACUUGCUUCUGCAUGUGCUUUAAUGAUCUGUUGAGUCAGAUCCUUAUUUUUGAUAGUUAAAGUCUCAACCUUCUCUUCAAGAUUCUUCACCCUUUUUUGUAGGGAAAACAUUUUUAGAACAUAACUUUUCUUAUGAUUCCGUGGUUGCUUCUCUUCCCUUUGCAGAUGAUGCCUUAAGGGCAUCAAUUUCAACAUCCUUGAGGGAAAUUAGAGCAGUCAUUGACUCUAGUACAUCCUUUAACCUCUUUUGUGUUUCCACCAAUUCGGAUACAAGAGACUUAGACUUGCCACUACCUCUUUAGAGGACACACUUAUUGUCUUCCAGAGUGGAUAAGUUAAACGCUUGCUUGAUUAACCGAUCAUUCCUUGCCCACACCACAUUAAAGUGAUUAAAGAUCCUAUUGAUUCAGAACCCAUAAGCCAAUCUAUGUUUCCCAUCCUUUGCAGUCAUCAUUGUAUGCAUGUGCUCAAUUAUAAGUGCAGGAAGAUAAAUUCUUUUAAAGUUGGACAACAUUUCUAUGAGAUAUAAGUCUGGGCCUGUUACAACAUUUCUUUUCUCGGAUUAGGGAAGAAGACACUUAUUCACCAACUCAAAAAGAAGUUGAUAUUUACCCUUCAGUGCCUUCUUGGUUAUAUUCUUUAUAUUCAUGUCAUCCAAAUUACUGUAGAGUGUCAAGAACUUGGUGGAUCCCACUUCCUUUCUUACUGACUCUAUCCCCUUAGUAGGGACUCCCAAAAUUUUAGACAAUACUUUUUCAUCAAAUACAGUAUUCAUUCUAUUUACCUAAGAGGUUAGGUACAGGCAAUUUUCUGAGAAAUUCAAAUAGUGAGAAAAUUGAUCUACUUCCUGUUCAUAAAGAGGAGGAACCGGUCCCUGAAAUAAGUGCUCCCAUCCUUAAAAUCUAUCUCACUCAAGUAGCUCUCUCAUUCCUGGAAACUCAGCAAUAGCAGGAUCAAACACUCUGCAUCUCAACAUUUCCUGAGUCCUAAGAAUUUCUUGCCUUGCUUUCUUUGACAGACCUUUUCCCUUCCCAGUAGAAGAGGAGACCUUUUAAAGGAAACUCCUUCCCUUAGUAGAUGGUCUAGAACCUCCUAUGUUUUUUGCAACUUUGGGACUACUAUCGGACUCUUUGUUGUCAGCAGAUUAUUCCCUUUUUCUUUUCUUAGUCAACCUAGACACAAAUUCUUUUACUUGUAAUUUUUUCCCCUUUCUUGGAGAAAUAGUUUCCUUUAUUUUUCCAGGAGAUGUUGCCUUAUUCCCUAUUUUGGAAGACAAGACUUUCUUUCCCUUUUCUUUACCUCAUGAGGCUUCCACACUUCUCUCUAUAUCUAGUUAAUAAAGUCUAUGUUGAAGAUACUUUCAUAAUCAUCAUUAGAAAGACUUGGAAAAAUAUCAUUAAUACUGUCAAAAUCACUGUUCUUGCUAUCACCAUCCUCUGUAUUUUCAUCAGACUCAUCAACAACCACUGGUUCAGCAAUAGAUAUUCCUUUUCCUUUUUUCAUCUUCUCCUUUUGGUACCAUUCUUGCUUUUUACUAAGUCUUCUUUUAGAGAAUAUUUGGAACUCACUCUAUACCCUGUUGCCCUGCCCCUUCCAGAAGAGGAAGCUCCUUUCCUAGACAAUUUCCACCCUAAUGGCUUAUUGUCAUCACUGUCUGGUUCACUCUGUACAAUCUUAUUUCUACUUGAAAAAUCAAGUACAGAGGGAAGGGUCUCAAUUUCAUUAUCAUCGCUAGAGGUAGAGACAUUUGGUCUAUUUGUAAGAAGAGUUGUAGGAUGAGUUUCCCAUCUAGGUGGUUCUGUGCUCAAGGCUGUAAGACCCUGUACACCAAUUUCUUUACUCAUAGCUUUAAUAUUAGAGGGCACCUCUCUAGAAGUUGGCAGAUCAUUAAACAAGGUUUUGUCCAAAGAGGAACUACCAUAUUUACUUGAAGAAACAAACUUAUCUGAUGAGAGGGUUUAGGUUUUUGAGGAGGAAUCAAAAUCCUGACUAAAAGGAACUAUUUGAUCAGCGAUUGAUUCCUCAAACUUAAUGUUUUGUGGGAAGAGUGUUCAAAAGAUACCUUUAAGAAGUUGAACCUUUGAUUCUUCCUUACUAGGGACAUUAUUUUCAUAGGACUCUAUUCUAGAUUUUAUAAGGUUAUCAGUAACAUUUUUUCCUUUUUGCAGAGAAGCAUCAAGGGUUUCAUCUCUCUUGGAAUUAAAAUCCUUAGCAAUUUUGUGUAGAGAGAAAGGGGAAAAUAUAGUAAUAUAAAACCCUUCCUCCAACCCAAAAGGAAUAGUGGGAGUGUCUAUUAUAUUUAAGGGAGCGGGUUCAAUUAUUUUGAAGGGUCAAAAGGAAUUUGACAUUGGAGAGAUUGAGAGGUUUUGGAUAGGACUAUUUGAUAUUAGAUUUAAUAUUGUUAGGGAACUGAUGAGGCUUUUGAGAAAAAGAAGAUGUGUUUUACACAAUGAAGGUGAAAGAUUCUAACAAAUAACUUUAAAUAGGACAAAAGGAAUGGUGCAGAUUUUAUGAGGGGAUAUGUCUGAAGAGACAUGUCUGGAUUGAUGGGAGCGUCUCUUAGAUUUAAUAAACAUGGCAACUCUUAAGAAAAGGGCAAGAUAGUGACGUGGCACAUAUUAUUUGUGUUAAACAGUCACUAUGUAAGAAUAGUACGUGAUGCUGACAUGAUUUGGGACCUGGCCCCUAAUCUAUUUCUGAAAUAUUAUUCUAUGCUAUCUUACCUUCUCCUUCUUUUACUCUUUUUUUUGCUCUGGGUGUACAUCUAUGAAAAAUAUGAAGGUGAAUUAGACAUGUAUGCCAAUGUCCACCCGGGAUACCUACGUACCAUUUCACAGUUACCAAGGAGAGUCUGUUAAAGCAGCCACCAUUUAUCUUAAUCUCCUAGGCCUUAUUUUCUAAGUCCUUCCUCAACCAGUUCCCUACAAACAUUCUUGAGGAACAGAAGUGUAUACUGAAGAGACUUUGCCUCCUUCUAGGGUCUGAUGCAAGAGGUACUCUUUCAAUCUUUCCCUUUAAUGUUUUAGGCAACCAUCUUUAAUAACUCCUGCAUUGACUGCUCACCUUGCGUUGACCUACAUCACAAAUCUUUCAUUAGUCUUGGGAACCCAUUUCAGUCCGAUUUCCCAAUAGGAGGAUAGAGGAUAGAUUUUUUUCUUCUUAUUCCAACUUGGUAAUUUCCCUUUCUACCUUUUUGGAGUGAUAAGUUUACCCAUUUAUCUCUGAUGCUCAGCCUUUCCACCUUGUGAGUUUAAGUGAUUAUACUUGACCUUUGUCUACUUAACAACAUAGUUAGAACCUUCAUCUUGAUGGUAAAACUCUAAACCACUCCCACUGUUUGCAUCCUGACUGGUUAAGAUAAUAAGAUCUUAUGGCAAAGAAGUCCAUGUGAGUGCCUUUGCAAGCUUAGUUUUUACCUUAGCCAGUUCUCUUAGAGUACCUUUCAGGAGAAGCAACUUAAUUUGCUUCAAUUUCAGCUAAUUCCAACCAAAUUAGCUUCAAUUUCAGCUAAUUCUUCUUCCAGCUGUAAAAGUAUACUACUUCCCUUUGCAUUUCCUUGGGACACUAAAUUGGUGAUUUAUCUUAAUUGUUUUCUCAGGAGAUCAUUUUUACAUGAGUGAAUCUUGCAAGUUGCUCGAUGCUUAGCUACUUGCUCACUUAAUUCAACCAAUUCUUCUUCGCACAUGCUUAGAUCAUCCUUUAAUUUUCUUUUUUUACUUGUGAGGUUUGUCACUUGGAUAAUCAACUCAAUAAAUUCUUAUUCAUACUUCUAAAGGGUUUCCUUUAAAUUCUUUUUGUCAUCAACCAUUUCAUUUAAGGAGUCAAUUAGUGUAGAGGCAAAAGAUCUCAGUUUGUUGAGGGACUAAUUCUUCAAAUUCACUUUUAUAUCAAGGAGAGUCGUAGGUUUACUUUUAUUUCCAUCUGAGUCUACCAUCAAGGCAAGAAGUGAAUUAGAGAGUUGCACCUUUUCUUCUAUUGCCAUGAUGGGAAUGUCUUCUCGUUGCUCAUACUCAAUUGAGUCACUUGAUGAGUCAUUCCAACAAGCUGCAAGGACAUGAUCAGCCUCAAAUCUCCAAUUAUACAUCAUAGUGACCCUCUACUUCCCUGUUUAAGACAAAUCUUUAGAUCUACCCAAGGCUUUGUGAACGUUUUUUGCAAUCUGAGUUAUUUCACUUUCUUAAGAGAUAUACGUAGCUUUUGAAGCCUUAACUUAUCAGGAUCUUUCCAAGGUGUUAGCCUUAUUACGGAAGGCCUUGCUCUGAUACCAAAUAAAGGGAUUGGGGUGGGUUGCUCCUCUGCUCAGGGAACUAUUGCCAGUAUCUCACACGCAAUAAGAAAUAGGAGAUAAGUAAAUUAGCAAGUGCCAGAGUGCAGAAAAGUAAAGACAAGAUUUUUUACGUGGAAAUUCCUUGCUCAAGGGAGAAAAAUCAUGACCUACCUCCACGAUUUAAAUUCCACUAUACCUAAACAAUCUUUUGAAUACAUACUACAAGGAUUAGCCUCCUAAUCCUUUGUUUUCUAGCAAUAACUUUAUUACAAGGAAACCUAAGUAGUAACUUUAUUGACUCCACCUCCAGCUAAAUUUAAUUGGACUUCACAAGAUAACUCUUGCUUGCCACAACAACCUAACUCUAGAUGAUUACAAGAGAUGGUACACCACAACCCCCACUAUAAUCAUAAGCAAGCAUAGGCAAGAAUUUCAGUACAAAAUUCAAAGACUUAACUAUAACAAGGAAAUAAAGAUACAACUCAAUGAACAACAAGUUCCUUGUUACACUUUCAGCCUUUGAUUGCAGCAUUACACCACUUCAGAAAGAUCUUUAAUUGUGAGAAUAUGGAAGUGUUGUUUUUCUUGUUGAGAAAGAUGAGCAUUAUAUAUUGUGUCACAAGAAAACCUAGAAGUAAUCUCAUUGGUUGAGGUAAAAAUACAGCAAUAACUUUUCACUAACUUUUGUACCAUAUGUCAGCUAGACUAUUGACUGUGACAACGUCAGGUGAGCCCAAUCUAUUUCCUAAUACAUAGAGGGCCUAAGUCAUCAUAACAAGGUCUCCAGGGAAGAAAUCCCAAACUAUGAGUUUGUUAAUCAUCAAAACUAAGGACUUAACAAUAUUGUUAUAGGCUCAAUAGACCACCGUCUCAUUUUUAUUAGGUUCUCCCUCUAUUCCUAUGGCAUGCACCGAGGUAUAGAAGUUACUACUCAGAUGAGCCAUAUGAAGAAUGUGUUGAGACCUAUUGGUUAUUGCCUCAAAUUUGAAAAACUAGUUAUGGUGUAUGAAUGUAUUGACGCUAUAAAUCUUGAUAAGUUGCUCUUCAACAAGGGUAAUACUAAUGAUUAUGCUAAAAAAACAUUAUCCUGGAGAAAGAGAUUACAAAUUAACAAUGAGGUUGCUUCUACAAUUGUCUAUCUCCAUACCAAAUUUAGUACGCCCAUCAUCCACAGAGAUAUAAAGCCAUCUGAAGUGAUAAUAGAUCAGAAUAACAAUGUUGCCAAAAUAGUGGACUUCUUAUCAUCUAUAUCACUGUCUCCAAGAAAAUUGGAGGUAGAAGAUGAUAUUCUGUUAGGAAUAUGCGGGUAUGUAGAUUUUUAAAAAUGCCAUCUUAGGUAUUUUUAAUAAAAAAAGAGAUGUCUUUAGCUUUUUAAUUGUUCUUUUUGAGCUACUAAUCGGAAAGGAAGUGCGAGAUAUUAUAAAAUCCAAUAUUGGAGAGGGUCACGUAAUGAUUAAAGUGGAUUCAAUUUUUAAAGAGAUAGUAGAGUUUGAAAAAAGAUGCCAAAUCUAAUAGUGAGAGUAAUGCUAUGGAUAGAUUGGAUUCUACAAUUCCAGAUGACAUGAUAGAUUUUGAAUCUCUUCCACCCAACCUUGUGGAUCACUAUACUAAAGAGGGUAAUAAAAUGGAUAUAGUGGAUUCUGUCUCCAUUAUAGAAGAGCGUGGAAUUGAGAUGCGACAACAAUUAGAGAACUACUUAGAUCUUGGUAAGCAAUGCAUAACUGACAAAGGAGAGGAUAGUCUACAUAAUUGAAGUUGCAGGGGAAUUAUGCCAAAUUCAAAAGUUCUUCCAUACCCCCACUCAUGACCAAAAUUAUCUAUAUAAAUAUGGGGAAAAUAUUAAACUGCACAUUGUGCGUUUAAAGUUAAUUUGGUCAUAUAUAUAAACGUGAAAUAAGCUUGGCUUUAUUUGUAGUUAUUUCAAUUUUCAAUUGAAAUUCAGUUUGGCUACAAGGUUGUAUUAUGUUGGAUAAUAAAAGAGAUAUGAAGAUGAUGGAAUUGUUGAUUUAGCAUUUUUAACUUGGGAAAAGUUUUUACUAAAUGCUAGUUACAUGAAUCAUUUCAGUGCUUAAUUGAGAAACCAGGUAUCCAGUUGCUUUAAAUUACUCUCUGCUAGAAAAGCAGGGAGAUUCUCAAAUUUUUACAUAUUGAUAGGCUUGUAGAGUAGAGUUGGAGAAUUAAGUAUGAGCUAGGAUAGGUUCACAUAAUUAUAAGGAAUGUUAAUUUCUAAUUACUAAGUGGAACAACAAUAAGUGUGAAGACACAGAGAGAAAGUUAGAUAUUGGAAUGAAUGGACACUUUGAGUCACAACGAUGGCAUAAAUGAGCUCAACUAUUAACUAAUGACAUAAAUGGGACUUAUCUAAAAAAUUUAUGACAUAUUUGAGUUUUCUCUCUUGAAACUACUAACAACUUUUGUUAGCUAACUGAAGUAAUUAACUGCCUGAGUAGAGUUAAAACUAAUCGCAACUAACUAUAAAUAGUUACAAGAGUUGUGUACAACUGAAUCAACUCUAACAAAAUAUUUAAUAGAGAAAUUAAUUAACAGGGCAACGAAAUUAGGCAGAACUUGAUAAACAAAGGCAAUUAAAGUUCAUGGAAAUUCAUACGAGAGUCCAAUCAAUCUCUAUCAAACUCGAUUUGCUAUCAUUUUGUGUGGAAUUCAAUGUACAAAUUAGGACCAGAAGAAAGCUUCUAAAUUAGCAUUAGAACUAGAGAAAAUGAGAGAGAUAUCAAUUGUUUGGAGAGAAAAGAUACUUUUAAAUUAGCUCAAGGUAUUGGGAAGAAAAAAUGUACUAAUUCAGGGGACUAACAAUGAAAAAAAUAGGUCGCUACUUUUUUUGGAAACCUAGGUCGCCAUCAUUUUAAAUGACAAUCUUACCGAAAAGGCCAAUAUGGCUAUUGGUUAGCCACCUCUUAUGGCUGGUCAUUUUUCUCUAAAUAACAUUGAAAAUAUUUUUCCUUCCCUACCUACGCAGUUUCAGAGUCAGCAGUAUAGUGAACCCCAUCACCAAUUCAGAAUUAUGUGAACCUUCUUAAGUCUAAGAUUUUUAUUAUUGGCAAUAAUAAAUCACGUCCUGAGGUAGAACUAAUUCCCAUUAAGAAGCUGUACUUUAUUAAUGGAAUUCCUCGUGUUAGGUAGACUGAGAAAUUGGUUGAUAGAAUGAACAUUAUUGAAAGAAUGCAAUAUACGUUUAUUGGAAAGUUUUUAUAUGGAUGGCCAGACUUGGAGGAUCUUAGAUUACAACUUACUAAGCAGCUCAUUAUAAAAGGUGGAUGUAAUAUUGGUCUAUUGAGAAAUCAUCACAUCCUAAUGAUAUUCAAUAUGGUUUAAGAUUUUGGUAAUGUUAUGUAAAAAACAAUCUAUUAUAUUAAAGCCAAGGACUGAUAUUCAUAUCAUAUAUGGCCUUUAAUUUAUGAUGCUAAGUUCAACACCAAGGCAGAGAAAACAUAAGCAAUUGCUUGGAUAUAUUUCCCUAAUUUUAAACCAAUAUAUUUUGUGAAAUAAUCUCUUUUAUCAUUGGCCUCUGCAGUUGGUAAACCUAUUCACUUAGACAUGGCUACUAUGAACAAGACAAGACCUAAUUGUGCUAGGGUUAAAGUGCAUGUAGAGUUAAUGGCUGAACUUCCUAAAUAUGUUGAGAUGAAGAUUGUGAUCUUAAUAAUAAAUAGGGUAAGAGUGUCUAAGGUGAACAUUCAAUAUGAUUUCUUGCCCAAAUAUUGUAAAAGAUGUAUGCUUCAAAGGCAUAAUGAACAAGAAUAUAGAAUUCUACAUCUUGAAUUAAAACAAUGUUAUGAGGAUAAUAAAAAGUAAGACGUGUCAUCCCUUAGUAAUAAUAAGAAUGAAGGAGAUAAUGAUAAAAAACAUAGGAAACUGGGUGGAGCAAGGUAUGUACAAGCACAAAAAUGAAACCCUACAAAAAGGCAAUUUCCCAAUAAAGGAAACAAAGGAUACCAGGAUAAGCAAGCUAUUACCCCAAAGAAAUCAUGAAAUGUAAAUUAGUUCCAUGCUCUAGCAGAAGUUGAGAAAGAAAAUAGUUAAAUCUCUAAUAAUAAUAUUUUAAUAGCUUCAUCUCAAAUCAAUAAACCAGUAGAAAAAGGGGAUGAGGUGAUGUCGACUAGAGACUGGGUUGUCAACUCCUCCCAACAUCAGGAAAAUCAGAAUAAGGUAUCAACUAGUAGUCAUGGAGAAUCUGCAUAACAUAAGGAGAAGAAGUUAGUUCAUGAGAAGAGAAUGGAAGAAGUAAAGAAACAUUACACCUGAUAGUGACAAUGAAGACAACAACAUAAGAAAGAUGGGACAACAAUUCCUUGAUAUGCAAUAAUAAUCUGUUGACAAUAUAAAGAAAACAAACGUUAGUGUUCCAAGAAAUAUCAAUUUUACACAAAAUGAGAAUAUAGUGAAAAAAGCAGAGAUUUCAAAUAAAAUACAAAGUGAAGAGGAGUCCAGUAUAGGUCAGGACAAUAACAACCUUGCCAUUAUUGAGGUUCUAGUUACUAUUGCUGAACAAGAUUGGGGUGGUUAUACAGAAACUCCCAACAAAGUGUUACAUAACAUUCUUAUCCACUAGGUGGAUGAUAUCAAUAAAAUUAGGGGAUUGAUAGACGGUGUGAAUAUAAGGACACCCAAAAAAAUCAAGAGGAGCAAGUAUUUAGGGAUGAUGACUUAUCACCUAGAUCAAUCAAAUCUCUAAAGCAUAAAAAAAGGGGAAAAAGCCUAUUAUGUGAGAAAAAAAUCGGCCUAGCAGGUCUCAACAUAAGAAAGGGUGUGGAAGCCAAUAUUCUAAGCAAUGAAAGCACUAAUUUUAAAUAUUAGGUCAGUUAAGUCAUAAAGUACUUUUUAGAGAGUUCAAAUGCUGAAUAGAAUGAAUAAGUUUGCAUUUAUAACUCUUUUGGAACCAUUUCAGCAGUCUAGACAUAUAAAAAAA